rnacentral:lncRNA from 1 species
GUUCAGUCUACAGGGGAGCAAGAGCAGUAAUAGCAAAGGUAAUAACGAUUAAUUAACAGAAUCCUUGUAUGUUCUGAAGAGAAAUUGAGAAUGUGCUAUUUGGAACCUGUAUACACUAAUUGAUGCCGGUUAAAUUAAAUAUAAGCGGGACCUCUGCUGACCAAUCAAUAAGGCAGGAGACCAGGAGGAACAAAGCAGGAGCUCCUAGCAUCGUUCAGAUAGAAUGCUGUUUCUGUCAUGGAUGUUCAUGGACUGACUUCAGAGUUCAGACAAACAAGUUCAUGUAUGUCACAGACUGCUCAUCAGCUGUGUCAUCCAAAAUAUUUGGGUUUGAGGCAUAAGAUGCGAGCUACAGCAACUGCACAUGAAACAAAGAAGCAAGUUCAUGUCAGUCUUGCAUUGGAGCUUCCUUGUGCUGGUACUACUAGGAUGUAUGCAUUAGACUGAAUCCCAAGAAAAUGCCUCCAUGGAUUACUAGUAGGAAGGAUGUACUGCUGCAAUGCUGGCAAUCUUGCCCCAUUCAAACUCUGAACACAAACAUUUGAGUAACAGAACAUGCUUCAGAGUUCAGACACUCUUACAGCACUAGCAAACCUGUUGCAAUCGGUUGUUUGUUUGUUUGCUUGCUUUGGUUGUUCAUCGUUACUCAUUGUGACAGGGAUUAUAACUACAGUAAUAAUACUCCAAAAAAUGUAAUCAACCAGUACAAGAUUAAUUCUUGCUGCAAGAAGAAGAACAAGGUACAAAUUUCAGAGCCAAGUGGUACUGAAUAAUAUCGGAGUUCAUUCAGUCUAUAGGGGAUCAAGAACAGCAGCAGCGGCAAAGGGAACGACGAUUAAUUAACAGACAACGGGGGAAAAGCAAAAGCAAGCAGCACAUCGUCACUAGGCGGCGACCUCCUCGGCGGCGGGCGGCGGCGGAGUCGGCGGCGGACCGGGACUGGAGCGUGGGCAGGAGCUGGGCCUUGCGGCGGGUGUUGCGGGGCGGGACGGGACGGCGAGGAAGUGCUUGGUCUUGGAGAUGGGGUAGGAGGAGUGGAUGAGCCUGAUCGCCGCGUCCCUGAUCGCCAACGGCUACCCACGCACACACCCGUGCCGUGUUCUCCUGCAUGGGCACGCCCAUCCACCACACGCACGCCUACCCCGCGGACCUGGCGCACCCGGCGCGAUCAGUUCGCGCCCAUACACGAGCUGGUCGAGCCCAGUACGCCGCCGCGGCUUAUUCACCCAACACUACACCUCCUUAAACCACGACUCAGAACAGCCCGAUGUUCUCGACGCCGUCUUCCACCAGCAGUGCACGCUCACCCGCCGGGGCCUUCCGAAGCUGCGGGCAUUCCCGCUUGAAGUGGCCGCGCUCGCCGCACUUGUAGCAGCGUCCGCGCCGAUUCCCACCGUUGCCCGAUGCCUCGCCGCGCAUGUCAUCGUCGUCCCGCGUACCUCCCUGUUGCCGAUCCCGAGCUCCCCAUUGCGCCGACGUAUACAUGAGCGCGCCGUCUGCUUGCUCGCCGCCCGCCUGCCUGCCCGCGCCGCCGCAGCCGCUCGUCAAAUGCCUUCAACCGACCUAGCGCGUCCUCAAAUAGCAGCGUGUUCAGGUCGCAGAACUGCUCGAUCCCGGCCACCACCGCGUACAGGCGGUCCGGCACGGAGUCGAGCAGCUUCUUCACGAGCGCGGACUCCUCCAGGGUCGAGCCGAGCCCCGCGAAGCGCGCCGCCGUGCCGCCCAGCUUGCCCGCGAACCCGUUCAGAGUGUCGCCUUCCGCCAUACGCAUGAGCUCGAACUCGCCUCGGAGCGUGCCCAGCCGCGCCGCCCGCACACAAUCCGCACCGAUGAACCUGGACUUGAGGCUCGCCCACACCUCCGCCGGCUUGUCCUUCUUCACGAUCACGGCCGCCGCCACGUCCUCCGGCACCACCACGGCCUCCCACAGACCAGCCGCAUCGAGGUUUGCCUCCACCUUGAUCGCCCACACGGUGUAAUUCUCACCGGUGAGCAACGGCACUGGCUGCGGCAACGAUCCGACCGAUCCGCCGGCAAACGGGAAGAUGGACAUCUCCGGCGAGCUCCGAUCUCCACGUGGCUCUGAUGCCAAUUGUUGGCGCAAAACCCUAGCCCUAGCUCUCCUCUCUCUCUCACUAAGCUCUCUCUCUGAUGCCUUGGCGCGAACCAACGAAGGAGAAGGAAGAAGAAAGGGAGGAUAGGGACACGGUGGUGUUUUUCCCGGCGCACGAACGCCUUCCUUGAGCACGAACUCAAAAGCCAUACCACACCAUUACAACGAUCGCUGCAGCGCCUCUUAUACCCGGGCAACGCCAGGCCACGACCCGCACGCAGCUACACCUACAACACCUGGUCUGGCCCGCUCCGCGCGCGCGCACGACGCGCGCUCCCCGCGCCGAGCCCUCAACGGACCAGCGUGAUCGCCGCGUCCCUGAUCGCCAACGGCUACCCACGCACACACCCGUGCGGUGUUCUUCUGCAUGGACACGCCCAUCCACCACACGCACGCCUACCCCGCGGACCUGGCGCACCCGGCGCGAUCAGUUCGCGCCCAUACACGAGCUGGUUGAGCCCAGUACGCCACAGCGGCUUAUUCACCCAACACUACACCUCCUUAAGCCGCGACUCAGAACAGCCCGGUGUCCUCGACACCGUCUUCCACCAGCAGUGCACGCUCACCCGCCGGGGCCUUCCGAAGCUGCGGGCAUUCCCGCUUGAAGUGGCCGCGCUCGCCGCACUUGUAGCAGCGUCCGCACCGAUUCCCACCGUUGCCCGAUGCCUCGCCGCGCAUGUCAUCGUCGUCCCGCGCACCUCCCUGCUGCCGAUCCCGAGCUCCCCAUUGCGCCGACGUAUACAUGAGUGCGACGUCUGCUCGCUCGCCGCCCGCCUGCCUGCCCGCGCCGCCGCAGCCGCUCGUCAAAUGCCUUCAGCCGACCCAGCGCGUCCUCAAAUAGCAGCGUGUUCAGGUCGCAGAACUGCUCGAUCCCGGCCACCACCGCGUACAGGUGGUCCGGCACGGAGUAGAGCAGCUUCUUCACGAGCGCGGACUCCUCCAGGGUCGAGCCGAGCCCCGCGAAGCGCGCCGCCGUGCCGCCCAGCUUGCCCGCGAACCCGUUCAGAGUGUCGCCUUCCGCCAUACGCAUGAGCUCGAACUCGCCUCGGAGCGUGCCCCGCCGUGCCGCCCGCACACAAUCCGCACCGAUGAACCUGGACUUGAGGCUCGCCCACACCUCCGCCGGCUUGUCCUUCUUCGCGAUCACGGCCGCCGCCACAUCCUCCGGCACCACCACGGCCUCCCACAGACCGGCCGCGUCGAGGUUCGCCUCCACCUUGAUCGCCCACACGGUGUAAUUCUCAUCGGUGAGCAACGGCACUGGCUGCGGCAACAAUCUGCCCGAUCCGCCGGCGAACGGGAAAAUGGACAUCUCCGGCGAGCUCUGAUCUCCACGUGGCUCUGAUGCCAAUUGUUGGUGCAAAACCCUAGCCCUAGCUCUCCUCUCUCUCUCACUGAGCUCUCUCUGAUGUCGUGGCGCGAACUAACAAAGGAGAAGGAAGAAGAAAGGGAGGACAGGGACACGGUGGUGUUUUCCCCGCCCACGAACGCCUUCCUUGAGCACGAACCCAAAAGCCACAACACACCAUUACAACAAUCGCCGCAGCGCCUCUUAUACCCGUGCAACGCCAGGCCAUGAACCUCACGCACCUGCCCACUACACCACCUGGUCCGGCCCGCUCCGCGCGCACGCACUACGCGCUCCCGUAUGCUCCCCGCGCCGAGCCCUCAACGGACUAGCGUGAUCGCCGCGUCCCCGAUCGCCAACGGCUACCCCGCGCACACACCCGUGCGGUGUUCUCUUGCAUGAACAUGGCCAUGCACCACACGCAUGCCUACCCCGCGGACCUGGCGCACCCAACGCGACCAGUUCACGCCCAUACACGAGCUGGUGGAGCCCAGUACGCUGUAUUUUAUUUUAGAACGAAGGCUCCAGAAGAGCCCGGCUUUGAAUUAACAAAGCCAUCAACCGGCCAGGAUUACAAACUCGAAACCAACACAAGAAAGCGAAAAAAAACGACAAGAUACAGAGGCGCUGGACAACAGCACACAAGCCUCACACACACACCCAGCUAAAGGAUCGAACAAGGAGACACGCAGCUCGGGUAUGUGUAGGUCCUCAAUCGCAUACAAAUCACCAAGGAGAAGGAGAAUGUCAGCACAGGAGCAGCAUUACGGACGGCGAGGAAGGGCACGCCGUCGCCAAAUCACCAGCGGCCCCGGAUUGCCAUGUCCUCCCAGCUCCACUGUCAAAGAAGACCCCUGUCUCCUCGCCUGGCUCGAAGGCGCCGAACCGUUGACAGUGUAGCAGUUCACCCUAGAACCUGGGAGGAACGACACCUGCAGGCUGCAUUUGGAAAGGAACCUAGCUCACCCGACUAGCCACGAAAUGAUCUCAAGGAGCAGAGCACCACCCAACACCCACGGACUGGACACGGAUGAGGAAGAGCUGCCGGAACGGAACGGACGGAGGAGCAGUAGCAUAGUGUCCCUGUAGGCGUUGAGCCGCUGACGAACUCGCCGCCGACAAAGAAGACCAGCUACUGCCGCCGCUGCACACCCACCACAUCGCCGAGGAGCCCACUGCCCACCUAGCUCCCAAAAACGGCGCCUUCAGGAAGGACGCGACGCCGAGGGCGCCGCCGCCGCCCAACAGAGUUGAGGUUUUCACCCGGGAGACUAGAGGGAUGUGGGGCGACGGAUCUGACCUGAACGGCGCCUCCAGGGAGGGGAACGGCGCCACGAGCGUCGCCGCCACCAAGACCGACGAGGCCGGCCUGGAAUUUCUCCCGGUCUGCGAAUCCUCGCCUCCACCACCCCCACGACGCAAGAUCCGGCGGCCCGCAAAGAAGCCGGGCAGAUCUGGCCGGGGCGGAGCUCUCGAAACAGGGGGGCAGGGGCGGCCAGAUCUGGCGCCACCGCGAGCCACCAGGGCUGCCAUCCACCGGGGCACCCGCCAUCCACACGGCCAGGAUCGCCGGCCCACGCCCGCGCCACCGCCUGCCGCCGGGCCGGUGACGCCUCUCCGACCAGGGCCGCCGCCCUGGGGAACACGGCCCCCCGCAGCAGAGGCAGGGGCGCCAGGGCCCCGCCGCCACCUUCCUCGGCGACACCCCGGGCUUGCCCGGCGGCGGCCUCAGGCGGCGGCGAGGAGGAGGGGAGAAGAAAGGGGAGGCGGCGGAGCUAGGGUUUGGGGCCCCCGAGUCGCCCUGCCAGUACGCUGUAUUGUGCGAGAGAAGAAAGCGUGCGCUGUCAAUUUUCUGUCAUGUCUGCUAUGCAUGCCUUGUGAGGACAACAGUGAGACCCAAAUAGCUGUAUUUCGUCAUGUAUAAAUUUUGUAUAGGAGAAAAGCGUAGGUAAAUAAAUAGUAACCUCACGCAUAUUGAUGCAAGGACGAAUGGUGCAUGUGGUACCGGUAGGUGACAUUAACGCGCAAACUGACUUUCUGGCGGCGCUAGGGCAGUGGCGUUUGUUCACCGAACGUUUUUCGCAAUCAUAAGAAUUAAGUACGAAGUUCUCCAAUACACAAUAAAUUCUUGUUGCAAGAAGCAAAAGGAAACAAAUCCAAAAGCCAAGUGAUAUAUAGUAGUGGAGUUCAUUCAUUGAGUCUAAAGGGGUAGAAGCAUUGAGGAUGGAAAGCAGCAAACGGAAAGGGUAUGAGAACUGUAGGAAGUAGCCGAGCACCAUCAUGCAGCGCACUACUUCCUCGAGAUAGCCAGAGAAACAUCAGAUAUCUCAUGAAGGGGGGCUCAGCUCAGACCUCGAGUAUCGAUGUCUCACUAGGCUCACAGAUGUUCCCUUGUUCAUAGAGGGAUAUAGACGGGGAUGGCUCUUUGGUCCAAGUAGGUUUCACGCGCUUCUGCUCCGGUGCUCCCCCGGGCUGAACACGAGUGGGAAAAACACAAGGACGGUCCAGAUGCGUCGAUGGCGGUUCGUAACUAGGGGCACGAUGGUCAUUUCAGAUGGGUGUAGAGCACGCGUAGACCAGUCGUAGAGCCCUGUAUGAGCCCGCGCCGGCCCGUGUACUAUUGUACGCCGGGCGUGUACGUGUAUUAUACGCUGGCGGUUGUGUUUUCCCGCGGACGUGCGCGUGCACGUGUGCAUGGAUAAUUUCCAAAAAAAGGCCCCUAGUAUAAGAGGAGGGGAACGGGCACCGGCCGCAUCGCCCACCCCAUUUCCCCCAAAUCGCCUCCCUCUCCCUCCUCUCUGCUCUGCCUCAUCGUCUCCCUCACCGGCCACCCCACCUGCUCGCUCACCAACGCCGCCUCCCUCUCUUUUCCUGCUUGCUUCUGGCUCGGAUGGAGCAAGGCCGUGGCGAAGCCGCCGUCGCGGGCGGAGAUCUGCAGAAGACGGGCGCGGAGACCGUGGCAGAUGCCGUGCAGACCCUCGUCGACGGCGCGGGUGUAGGAGGUGCUGCAUCCCCACGCGCUGGAUCGGUCGCUACGGCGGCGGAUCUGGAGGAGAAGAAGGUGGUCGUGGCGGACUCCGCCGUGGCGGACUCAGCCGUGCCGGUGCUUGGCGUGACGGCGUCGAGCGGCCCGUCUGAUGGACCUGCGGAGGCCGGCGGCGAGCACGUGGACCUGCAGGUAAUCCUUGCCAGCAGUCCCCUCCAUUGCUAGUUACCCCCGUUAAGCUGUAGAUUUAGGUGUUAGGGUUUUUUGUUGUUGCUAGUUGCUGCAUCCCCUUCUGAUAGUUAGGGUUUUUAGAUGUUUGAUUGAUUUAUACUGAAGGUUAAGUUUGGAUUCUGUGAUUGAAUCAUCCAGUAGAUCAAGUAGUUAGGGUUUUUUAAUGAGAUGUUAAGUUGGGGAUUUUUUGUAUUGGAUUCAAUUAGAGCCACUGAUAUGUUGUAUCUGUGAUUGAAUCACAUCCAGUAGAUGUACUAGUUAGGGUUUCUUAAUUAGAUGUUUAGUUAGGUUUUUUUGUAUUGGAUUCAUUUAUAGCCUCUGAUAUGUAAAAUGUGUGAAUGAAUCACAUCCAGUAGAUGUAGUAGUUAGGGUUUUUUAAUUAGAUGUUUAGUUGGGGAUUAUUUUGUAUUGGAUUCAAUUAGAGCCACUGAUAAGUAGAAUUUGUGAUUGAAUCACAUCCAGUAGAUGUAGUAGUUAUGGUUUUUAAUUAGUUGAUUAGUUAAGGUUUAUUUGUAUUGGAUUCAUUUAUAGACAGUUAUAUAUAGAAUCUGUGAUUGAAUCAUUUAGUAGAUGUAGUAGUUAGGUUUUUUUUAAUUAGAUGUUUAGUAAGGGUUUUCUUGUAUUGGAUUCAUUUAUAGCCAGUUAUAUGUACGGUCUAUGAUUGAAUCAUCCAGUAGAUGUAGUAGUUAUGGUUUUUUAAUUAGUUGGUUAGUUAAGGUUUAUUUGUAUUAUUCAUUUAUAGAUAGUUAUAUAGAUUCUGUGAUUGAAUGAUGUAGUAGAUGUACUAGUUAGUGUUUCUUAAUUAGAUGUUUAGUUAGGUUUCUUUUGUAUUGGAUUCAUUUAUAGGCAGAGAUAUAAUUAAAUGGUGUGAGAGAAUGAUGCAGUACAAGUAAGAGUUAUUAUAUUUUAAUUAGAUGUAUGAGUUAGUGUUAUUUGUAGUGGAUUCAUUUAUAUCCAAUGAUAUAUGCAAGUAAAUUUGUGAUUCAAUGUUCCAGUGGAUCUAGGAGUUAGUGUUUUUUAGUUAGAUGCCGGAGUUAGGGUAUUUUGAUUAGAUGUAGGAGUUAGGCUUCACCAUUUCACUUAUUCUGACAUAUGAGUGAUCAUUGAGAACUGCUCCGAACUAAAUAUUUAUUAAUAUUUACGAAUGAAAUGAAAACCUGACAUGUUUGUGAAGUUAUAUAUAAAGGUCCUAUUUGCAUUGUCUGUCGAAAACUGCUAUCUCAUUGGUUAAUAAGAGAGGAAUGAUAUUCAUUUAUACCUUCAUAUGCAUGUUCAAAAGCAAAAUCUGAAUUUGUAUGUCCAUAUGAAUGAACUUGUAUGUUCAUAACCCAAUUGUUUAGUAUCUAUAUAGCUUCAUAUAUAGUCUAUGAAUUAGUUGUUGAAAUGUACAUACCAUGUGUAACCUGUGCACCUUUUCAAUAUAGUUAGGAGCUUUCCAUCAUUAUGCAAAAUCAACUUGUUUGUAAUGACAUUAUUUGAACUGUAAUUCAAUUCCUUGUAAAUGACUUGCUUGGUUGACAAUAUAGCAGAAGGAGGAUCUUGUUGGCAACAAGAGGAAGUGGGACUCAUCUGGCUACUACCCUUAUGACAGUGAUGUGGAUGAGCCGUACGAGGUAAGGCCUAGCUGAAAUGUUAUUUGUGCAUUGACUUAGUGUUAGAUGUUUAUAGUAUUUGAAUGCAUAAUGUAUUAAUGUCAGUCAUUAAUGUGUGCAGUAUCAAUUUGGAGAUGAUGUGGUCGAGGGGAACGUCGAGUCCUUUGAAGAGAAGGUGGUGCAGAAGAUCAGGGCCCAAGGAUUUGCUAUGUACUACAACUGGAGGACGGACAAGUACCGGUGCCCCUACUGCAGCAGGCCCAAGCCCAGGUCUGGGUUGCUGGAGCAUCUGAUGGAACAUUGUCGGGCUACAUCCAUCCGCAGUGAUGAGUACAAGAUCAGGGCUCAGCAUUCUGCCCUCCACAAGGUCCUGAGAAACCCUAACAUGUAGCUGCCCUAGACCCUGGUUGUCGUAUGAUGGAGGAAGGCUCAGUCCUUUUGGUGAACUUUAUGUGGUAUUCUGAUGGUGGAAACUUUUAGUGGUAGUGGUCUGCAUCAGCAAGUGUGAUGUGUGGAUGCUGCUGUCUAUGGUAGUAAUAUAUAUUGCUAUCUAUAUUUGUGUCCCUUAAAUUUGCCAUUAUGGUUCCUUAGAUGUAUGGUUUCUUAGAUGUAUGAUUUGCUUCAAUUUAGCUGCUGCAAUGAUCAGACAUGCCGUAUCAGUGUUGCUUCACUGAUCAGGCAUGCUGCAAACACUUCCCAUGCUGUGGCCAUGUGGAACAUGCUGUGGCAAUGGUACAAUAAAUUCCCAUGCUGUGGCCAUGUGCAACAUGCUCUGCCCAUAAGCAAAUCGGACCAAAUGUAAAACUUUGCGUUAAGUUAAUUAAUGUUGUUUAGUGAAGUAAGUGGAAAUUGUUCAUCCACACAUAUGACAUCUUUCCUUCAUUUGAGUAAGCAAAAAUAGAAAUACUCCACCAUAUGAUCAAAUAUUCCAAUAACUGAGCACAUAUUCCAUCAUUUCAUCAAAUACUAAUAAAAAAGUAGUUAAAGAUGGUGUGUGUGUGUGCAAAAAACAACAUUUGAAUAAAGGUGUAAUGAUUAUUUGUAAUAUGAAGGAGUUUUUUCAUGAAAUGCAAGUUGAUUAUUUGUAAUAUGAAAGAUCUCCUUUUGUACAAUUUAUAGUGGCUCCGUGAAGCCGCAUGUUUCGAACCGGCAUUGGGCAGGGCAUAAAAAAUUCAGAAAAAAUUCAAAAAUUGUGACCCAAAUUUUCUUGCACAUGGUGACCCACAUGUGCCAAACAUGGUUAUGAAAGAAAAUUUGGAAAAAAUAAUACUUUACAAUGCCCCCUUGAGGUAUAGACCGAUGUUUUGACCAGUCAGUCUGGAGGGCAUUAUAAAUUAAUAAAAAAUUCAAAAAAUAUAAAACCUUGGAAAACUAGCUUUGUUUAUGCAAGAGAUCAUGUGUGCCAAAAUUGAGGUGAUUUGGAGGUGGUCGAAAAAAUCAUCGCAUUCCGGAGGGGCCAUUUGGUCUAACUUAAGCUAGUUUUUGAACAUACGUGAUUUUUUCCACCACCUCCAAAUCAUCCAAAUUUUCUUGUACGUGGUGACCCACAUGUGCCAAACAUGGCUAUGAAAGAGAAUUUGGAAAAAUAAUACUUUACAAUGCCCCCUUGAUGUAUAGACCGAUGUUUUGACCAGUCAGUCUANNNNNNNNNNNNNNNNNNNNNNNNNNNNNNNNNNNNNNNNNNNNNNNNNNNNNNNNNNNNNNNNNNNNNNNNNNNNNNNNNNNNNNNNNNNNNNNNNNNNNNNNNNNNNNNNNNNNNNNNNNNNNNNNNNNNNNNNNNNNNNNNNNNNNNNNNNNNNNNNNNNNNNNNNNNNNNNNNNNNNNNNNNNNNNNNNNNNNNNNNNNNNNNNNNNNNNNNNNNNNNNNNNNNNNNNNNNNNNNNNNNNNNNNNNNNNNNNNNNNNNGUUUGACCAGUCAGUCUAGAGGGCAUUAUAAAUUAAUAAAAAAUUCAAAAAAAUUUAAAAAAUUGGAAAACUAGCUUUGUUUGUGCAAGAGAUCAUGUGUGCCAAAAUUGAGGUGAUUUGGAGGUGGUCGAAAAAAUCAUCGCAUUCCGGAGGGGCCAUUUGGUCUAACUUAAGCCAGUUUUUGAACAUACGUGAUUUUUUCCACCACCUCCAAAUCACCCAAAUUUUCUUGUACAUGGUGACCCACAUGUGCCAAACAUGGCUAUGAAAGAAAAUUUGGAAAAAUAAUACUUUACAAUGCCCCCUUGAGGUAUAGACCGAUGUUUUGACCAGUCAGUCUAGUGGUCAUUAUAAAUUCAAAAAAAAUAAAUUUUUUUAUUAAAACCUUGGAAACCAAGCUUUGUUUGUGCAAGAGAUCAUGUGUGCCAAAUUUGAGGUGAUUUGGAGGUGGUCGAAAAAAUCAUCGCAUUCCGGAGGGCCAUUUGGUAACUUAAGCCAGUUUUUGAACAUACGUGAUGUUUAUCCACCACCUCCAAAUCACCCAAAUUUUCUUGUACAUGGUGACCCACAUGUGCCAAACAUGGCUAUGAAAGAAAAUUUGGAAAAAUAAUACUUUACAAUGCUCCCUUGAGGUAUAGACCGAUGUUUUAACCAGUCAGUCUAGAGGGCAUUAUAAAUUAAUAAAAAAUUGAAAAAAUUGAAACCUUGGAAAACUAGCUUUGUUUGUGCAAUAGAUCAUGUGUGCCAAAAUCGAGGUGAUUUGGAGGUGGUCGAAAAAAUCAUCGCAUUCCGGAGGGGCCAUUUGGUCUAACUUAAGCAAGUUUUUGAACAUACGUGAUUUUUUCCACCACCUCUAAAUCACCCAAAUUUUCUUGUACAUGGUGACCCACAUGUGCCAAACAUGGCUAUGAAAUAAAAAUUUGGAAAAAUAAUACUUUACAAUGCCCCCUUGAGGUAUAGACCAAUGGUUUGACCAGUCAGUCUAGAGGGCAUUAUAAAUUAAUAAAAAAUUCAAAAAAAUUUAAAAAAUUGGAAAACUAGCUUUGUUUGUGCAAGAGAUCAUGUGUGCCUAAAUUGAGGUGAUUUGGAGGUGGUCGAAAAAAUCAUCGCAUUCCGGAGGGGCCAUUUGGUCUGAACAUACGUGAUUUUUUCCACCACCUCCAAAUCACCCAAAUUUUCUUGUACAUGGUGACCCACAUGUGCCAAACAUGGCUAUGAUAUAAAAUUUGGAAAAAUAAUACUUUACAAUGCCCCCUUAAGGUAUAGACCGAUGGUUUGACCAGUCAGUCUAGAGGGCAUUAUAAAUGAAUAAACAAUUCAAAAAAAAAUUAAAACCUUCGAAAACUACCGUUGUUUGUGCAAGAGGUCAUGUGUGCCAAAAUUGAGGUGAUUUGGAGGUGGUCAAAAAAAUCAUCGCAUUUCGGAGGGUCCAUUUGGUCUAACUUAAGCCAGUUUUUGAACAUACGUGAUGUUUUCCACCACCUCCAAAUCACCCAAAUUUUCUUGUACAUGGUGACCCACAGGUGCCAAACAUGGCUAUGAAAGAAAAUUUGGAAAAAUAAUACUUUUAAAUGNNNNNNNNNNNNNNNNNNNNNNNNNNNNNNNNNNNNNNNNNNNNNNNNNNNNNNNNNNNNNNNNNNNNNNNNNNNNNNNNNNNNNNNNNNNNNNNNNNNNNNNNNNNNNNNNNNNNNNNNNGUUUGUGCAAUAAAUCAUGUGUGCCAAAAUUGAGGUGAUUUGGAGGUGGUCGAAAAAAUCAUCGCAUUCCGGAGGGGCCAUUUGGUCUAACUUAAGCCAGUUUUUGAACAUACGUGAUUAUUUCCACCACCUCCAAAUCACCCAAAUUUGCUUGUACGUGGUGACCCACAUGUGCCAAACAUGGCUAUGAAAGAAAAUUUGGAAAAAUAAUACUUUACAAUGCCCCCUUGAUGUAUAAACCGAUGUUUUGACCAGUCAGUCUAGAGGGCAUUAUAAAUUAAUAAAAAAUUAAAAAAAUUGAAACCUUCGAAAACUAGCUUUGUUUGUGCAAUAGAUCAUGUGUGCCAAAAUUGAGGUGAUAUGGAGGUGGUCGAAAAAAUCAUCGCAUUCCGGAGGGGCCAUUUGGUCUGCUAGGCGUUUCUUUGUUGCCAGCUGAGAAAUAAUACUCGUUUUUAUCGGAUGAGGGGGAGUGUCUUUGUUUGUUCAACGUGCAGAUCCGGGAGGAAGGGGCAGGACUUGUUGUUCUGGCAGUCUAGUUUUGUUUUUGUUAACUUAAGCCAGUUUUUGAACAUACGUGAUUUUUUCCACCACCUCCAAAUCACCCAAAUUUUCUUGUACAUGGUGACCCACAUGUGCCAAACAUGGCUAUGAAAGAAAAUUUGGAAAAAUAAUACUUUACAAUGCCCCCUUGAGGUAUAGACCGAUGGUUUUAACCAGUCAGUCUAGAGUGCAUUAUAAAAUAAUAAAAAAUUCAAAAAAAUUAAGACCUUGGAAAAACUAGCUUUGUUUGUGCAAGAGAUCAUGUGUGCCAAAAUUGAGGUAAUUUGGAGGUGGUCGAAAAAAUCAUCGCAAUCCGGAGGGGCCAUUUGGUCUUUAACUUAAGCCAGUUUUUGAACAUACGUGAUUUUUUCCACCACCUCCAAAUCACCCAAAUUUUCUUGUACGUGGUGACCCACAUGUGCCAAACAUGGCUAUGAAAGAAAAUUUGGAAAAAUAAUACUUUACAAUGCCCCCUUAAGGUAUAGACCGAUGGUUUGACCAGUCAGUCUAGAGGGCAUUAUAAAUGAAUAAAAAAUUCAAAAAAAAUUAAAACCUUGGAAAACUACCUUUNNNNNNNNNNNNNNNNNNNNNNNNNNNNNNNNNNNNNNNNNNNNNNNNNNNNNNNNNNNNNNNNNNNNNNNNNNNNNNNNNNNNNNNNNNNNNNNNNNNNNNNNNNNNNNNNNNNNNNNNNNNNNNNNNNNNNNNNNNNNNNNNNNNNNNNNNNNNNNNNNNNNNNNNNNNNNNNNNNNNNNNNNNNNNNNNNNNNNNNNNNNNNNNNNNNNNNNNNNNNNNNNNNNNNNNNNNNNNNNNNNNNNNNNNNNNNNNNNNNNNNNNNNNNNNNNNNNNNNNNNNNNNNNNNNNNNNNNNNNNNNNNNNNNNNNNNNNNNNNNNNNNNNNNNNNNNNNNNNNNNNNNNNNNNNNNNNNNNNNNNNNNCCAAAAUUGAGGUGAUUUGGAGUUGGUCAAAAAAAUCAUCACAUUCCGGAGGGUCCAUUUGGUCUAACUUAAGCCAGUUUUUGAACAUACGUGAUGUUUUCCACCACCUCCAAAUCACCCAAAUUUUCUUGUACAUGGUGACCCACAUGUGCCAAACAUGGCUAUGAAAGAAAAUUUGGAAAAAUAAUACUUUACAAUGCCCCCUUGAGGUAUAGACCGAUGUUUUGACCAGUCAGUCUCGUGGUCAUUAUAAAUUCAAAAAAAAUAAAAAAAUUUAUUAAAACCUUGGAAACCAAGCUUUGUUUGUGCAAGAGAUCAUGUGUGCCAAAUUUGAGGUGAUUUGGAGGUGGUCCUGACAUGUGUGCAAAAUUUGACAUGUGACAUAUGCAAAAAAUUAGACAUGUGACAUAUUUUGUUUCAAACUUGUGUGCAAAAUUAGACAUUUGACAUAUGCAAAAAAAUUGAAUACAAAUUUAAAAAUUUACUUUGGGUAUCCUCACAUGGUGGAAAUGUUUGGUCCAAAUAUUUUUAAUAUUUUUAAAAUUUAUAUUUAAUUUAAAAUUUGAAAAUUUAAUGAUUCAAACUUGUUUGAAAAUUUUGACAUGUGACAUAUGCAAAAAAUUAGACAUGUGAAAUAUGCAAAAAAAUUAAAUAAAUAAUAAAAAAUGCCAGCCUACCAACAGCAUUUAUAUGAAACCCCACGGCCUGCAUACGACUAGUAACCCAUUGGGCCAGGAUGCAGGCCCGCGAUGAAUGUAUAUAAGUUGCCGGUAGGCCCGACGGGGCAGAGAGAGACUGGUUAGGCAAUGAGAUGCCUGCUUUAGAUAGGAACUUGAGAUGAUUAGCUCAGGUGGGUUUAUAAACCGGUGCGAGCUCCUCUCCGUUGGCGAGGUGGGACUAAACUCCCACCACCCCGAGACAGUGCCCGUCGCGGCUUUGAUUUCGGCCUAAUUUGGGUGGGUCGUACCAGGCCGGCCUCACACGCGGUUAUCAGCUGGAGAGGGGAAAAAUUCCCCAUUUCAUCUGGCAGAUACGAACCCUAGGUCUUUGCUUCUGUUCCCCAUUCACUCCGUGAGCUCAAACCUCACAUCUGGCAUCGCCGGCGAUGGGGGCCAAGAAGGGAAGGAGGUCGCGGUCGGUAAGUGAUUGCCGCCGCGCUCAAGAAAAGUGGGAGGAGGCAGUUGGGAAGUUCUGUCAGGGCAAUCUGGAGAAGAGGGCGAAUGUGGAGGAGAUCUGCAGCUGGUUUCCCAGCUUGCAGAUGUUCAUCGACCACGGUAGGGGUCUCAUCAAAGUGCUUACGGGCAAUGAGAAGAAAUCGUUGUUUGGUCCUGCUCGAGGAGUUGUUCUAGUCCAGGUUUUCCUCUGGGCUAUGAACGAAGCGGAGAACUCCCCGGAUCCGCGUCAGCGUGCGAGGUGGUACAUGUACCGCUCCCGCCGCCGCGCCCCUCCUAUUGCAGUGCCAGAUCUUGUCGGAGUGUUGCUCGCGGUGCCUGCUCCGGUUGAUCAGUCCAAUGUUCACACUGACAGUGAUGUGGAGCAGAGCAAGGAUGACAGUGAUAGUGAAGAAGUGGAGCAUAGCGAGGAUGAGAGUGAUAGCGAAGAUGUGGAGCAGAGCAAGGAUGAGAGCGGGGAAGAGGAGGUUGUUCUGCUGCUGGACGAUAGUGCUGGAGAGGAGGAGCAGGAUGAUGUUGUCCAGGAGCAGCCGGCGGACAUGCAGAUUGUGGGUCCAGGGAUCCCGCAGCUCGGAGACAGGACCAUGUUGAUUGAAGCGGAGACCUACAUCCGUAUGGGCAUUCGUCACUCAGAGCGCAUCAACAAGUUGAAGGACAAGAAAACAAAGUGAUGGCAUGUCAGUGUCUUCAGUUAGUCUAUCUGUGUGAGUCAGUUUGGACCCGUUUGAUAGCAUACUAUGUUCUAAGUUCUUUGAGAAUACUUCAGUAUUUGAGAUUAUGUUAGUUUUAUCUACAGUGAGUUGUUUGGUUGCCCCUAAUAAAUGUGAUUUUAGUACUGCAGUAUUGGGAAAACUAUAGUUAUUUCUCUGCAUGAAAAAUGUAGCCUCUUUUUAAAAAACAGAGUUUGUGAGUGCUUAAAUGCAAUGGCUAGGCAGCACAAUUUACAGCAUACCAAACAGUUGUAUCUAUUGUGAAUACUCCAAAAAUCUCUCUUUUAGUCAAACCAUGUUAUCUCAUAUGUAUACGUAAGAAUACUGUAGUUUUUAAUACGUUGGUUCAUAUAGUACCAUGCUACCAAACCCAGAGAACUGCAGUAAGUGUUAAGUUAUGUACUGAUGAAGUUUAUGUAGUGCAAAUGUGAUGUGUUCAAACUGUUAAGUUAUGUAAUGCAGUUGUUAAUGUAAUGCAUAUGUUAUCCUUUUAUUUUCAAAAAUAAUCCCAUUUCUACUUUCUCUAUAAUCAAACUAAUGAGCCAUUGGAUUGUUGAUUGAUCUCUUUUGCAGACAAAGGAGCCACAAAAAAGGUGCUGGAGGUGGGAGCAAGACUGCUAGAGCGAGUAGCAAGUGAAGUGUACACAGCGAAGCAGGGGUGGAGAAUCAACGUGGCAAGACUGGAAGGAUAAAAAAGAACACUCUACUUCCUGCUGAAGAUGUGGCCUUUAAUUUGUUGCGAUGUUUUAGUAGUUGUUGCUGUUAUUUUGCGGUGCUCAUAAACUUUGUAAGCCUAGGAUGAUGGGUUAGGCAGACUGCAGGCCAUGCUGGCUUUUGGUUAUAUAGGUUUAGGCUGGCUUGAAGUGAAAAUAGAGCAUUAUUAUUGAUAUAUGGAUCAGCCAGUUCUUCAACUCUAAGGUUGCGUUAAUUUAGUUCUAGAUUCAAAUACAUAGCUUAACCCUGCAAGGUUAUCAUAAUCUCACAUUUGUGUUUGGAAACAAUCCUGGUUAGCCUAAAUUACUGGUUGCAAUGGAAAUGUGUGCAUUGCCAUGAUGUUUACGUAUUUCAUUUCUUAUAUAUAUUUCAAAUAUUUGAAAAUCAAAUCUAUUUUUCCUCUUUCAUUAAUUCCGACAGUUUUACAAUUCAAAUUAUGCAAGAUAAUACAUUCUCUUUCAUUUCACUUGUUAAUUAAAAUAUUUCUUUUUAGUUUUAUCGUUGAAAUAAUUUUGAAUCACAUAUAUAUUUUUCUGUAUUAUUUGUUCUGACUGUUAGAAAAUUCAUGAAUGUGCGAAAAAUUGUUGUGUUAUAUUCUUUUAUGAGGUGAUUUGAAGAACAACAAAUAAUGGUGACAAAUGCAAAAAGUGAAAUAUGACCCAAAAAGCCAGCCUACUAGCUGCAUACUACACAAUUCAACGGCCAGCAUACGACUAGCAACCCAAUCAUUUAAUGCGCCAGGAUGCAGGCCCGCCAGAUUGUGAUAAUAGGCAGCUAGUAGGCCCCACUGGGCAGGGACGGACAGGGUUAGGCAAUGUGCUGCCCGCUUUAGAAAGGAACUUGAAAAGGGAAGCUCAGCCCGGUAUAUAAACCGGUGCGAGCUCCCCUCGCUUGGCGAGGUGGGACUAAACUCGCAGCACCGCUGGGAUGUGCCCGGCGCAACGCUCGCUUAGGCCUAAUUUGGGUGGGCCGUCCCAGGCCAGCCUCACCCGCGCUCAGAUUAUUACCACAUUUAAAACCGAGAUGCUUCAAUGUGUUAUAUUUCACUUAUUCAAUGUGUACGAAAAAUUAAUGUCUUAUAUUUCACUUAUUCAAUCAAAUAUUUAUUUUCUUUUUAUAUGUAGAAUAAUUUAAAAUAUAAUAUAUUUUUACUCUUUCAGUUAUUCUCACUCUAUUAAAAUUCAAAAAAUGCAAUAUAAUAUGUUUCAUCUUUAUUAUAAUAUAUCUUUUCUAUUUUCUAUUUCAAAAAAGGUAUAUCAAAUAUAUUUUUUCUAUGUUAUUUCUUCUUAGAGUUUUAAAAUUGAAGUAUAUGUUUUGUAUUUUAUUUCUUAUUAUAGUUAUAAAAAUCAAAAUUCCAUGAAUGUAUGUUGUCUUCUGUUUCACUUCUUAAAUAUAAUUUUCAUUCUAUUUUCAAAAUUCCAUUUGGUUGACUCCAUAAAAACAACGUCCUUCGGGCUCCCCCUCCGGCAGACCCAAAUGAUGGUGAUUGCACAUGUGCUAUGUGCUGACCUGCAUGAAAUGACACCAAAGUUUGGCACCAUGUGUGGAUGCCCAAUGUAGGCCCCCAUCCAACAUCUGGGCCAUUCCGGACACCGAACGAACGUUGCGUCACGUCCGGGCAGCGUUUCGGGUUCUUUUCACUGGCAAAAUCCUAGUAAAUGCAUCGAGUGUCGGAAAUCGAUGAGAAUUGGCAUGCAUGAUGUCCAUGGUCAUCCCAUUGUGUGAAAAAACUUUGGGGGCAUUUGGUUGAGUCCAGAAAAACAANNNNNNNNNNNNNNNNNNNNNNNNNNNNNNNNNNNNNNNNNNNNNNNNNNNNNNNNNNNNNNNNNNNNNNNNNNNNNNNNNNNNNNNNNNNNNNNNNNNNNNNNNNNNNNNNNNNNNNNNNNNNNNNNNNNNNNNNNNNNNNNNNNNNNNNNNNNNNNNNNNNNNNNNNNNNNNNNNNNNNNNNNNNNNNNNNNNNNNNNNNNNNNNNNNNNNNNNNNNNNNNNNNNNNNNNNNNNNNNNNNNNNNNNNNNNNNNNNNNNNNNNNNNNNNNNNNNNNNNNNNNNNNNNNNNNNNNNNNNNNNNNNNNNNNNNNNNNNNNNNNNNNNNNNNNNNNNNNNNNNNNNNNNNNNNNNNNNNNNNNNNNNNNNNNNNNNNNNNNNNNNNNNNNNNNNNNNNNNNNNNNNNNNNNNNNNNNNNNNNNNNNNNNNNNNNNNNNNNNNNNNNNNNNNNNNNNNNNNNNNNNNNNNNNNNNNNNNNNNNNNNNNNNNNNNNNNNNNNNNNNNNNNNNNNNNNNNNNNNNNNNNNNNNNNNNNNNNNNNNNNNNNNNNNNNNNNNNNNNNNNNNNNNNNNNNNNNNNNNNNNNNNNCCCAUUGUGUGAAAAAAAAAAUUGGCCAUUUGGUUGAGUCCAGAAAAACAACGUCCUUCGGGCUACCCCUCCGGCAGACCCGAAUGAUGGUGAUUGCACAUGUGCUAUGUGCUGGCCUGCAUGAAAUGACACCAAACUUUGGCACCAUGUGAGGAUGCCCAAUGUAGGCCCCCAUGCAACAUGUGAGCCAUUCCUGACACUGAAGGAAUGUUGCGUCACGUCCGGGCAGCGUUUCGGGUUCUUUUCGCCGGCAAAAUCCUAGUAAAUGCAUCGAGUGUCGGAAAUCGAUGAGAAUUGGCAUGCAUGAUGUCCAUGGUCAUCCCAUUAUGUGAAAAAAAUUUGGGGCCAUUUGGUUGAGUUGAAAUAAUUAUUUGAUAUCAAAAUUUUCUAAUAUGAAAAAGAAAAGAAAAAAGUACAUGAAACGAGCCCCUCGUCGCUCAAAGAGAGGAGCAGCUGCGAUUUGUUACACAAUUCCCGGAUCGGAAUCUACAAAAAAACUCGAGCGUGGGAAGCCUAUCCCUUUAAUUUAGGAGCACGUACUGCCUCUCCUCAACCAAGGAAGGCAAAGAUCACGGACGUACUUUCCCUGGUGGUUACGACGACCUACGAGAUCCUCCUCCUCCUAUGUAGUCUCGGCAUCGUCUUUCAUGUCGUCUACGACGGCUCCUACUGCCGAGUCGACGACAGCUGCGUCCCUAGCAUCGGCCCAACCCCAGCAAGAUUGUCGAGAACAUCCAGAUCAUCAGCGCGUGCUGGCCGUCGUGGACGAACUGCGUCCACGUUACAAUGCCGACAACUUCCAUCUUCAUCGAGCGAUCCAGUAUGUUGGCAACCGUACCGCAUCCAUGAUGCUUUUCUUUGUGCGUGUGUUAGAUUCGAUAGGACUAAGAUUAAUUAGCGCAUAAUCUUCGCAUUACAUCUGUUGGAGUAGAUGUUUUUUGUUUGUGCGUGUAUUAGAUUAGAUAGGCCUAUGACACUAGAUUUGUUUGUGCGUGUAUUAGAUUAGAUAGCCCUACGAUUGCAAAUUAGUUUCUGCAUGUUGUUUGUUGUCUUUCACUUGUAGGUUGGAUUGAUGAAUAAACAACAAUUUAUAAUCAGUGUUAGUUAUAGCAUAGUCACUUUAAGUUAUAGCAAUGCCCUAAGACAUGCAUGUUGCAACUAUGAGACGCCGACUAAUAUUGUAUGUGUUGCACGUUUGUUUGAUGCAUGUUCCAAUAUGCAUAAUUUCGUUUUUUUCUUUUCGAUUUACUGUUAAUUAGGCACCGUCACCGGUUCUUAUAUCUAUUUGUACAGUACCAUAUGAAAAUAAAUGAUUAGAUAAAUUAUGUUACUUUUUAUUAUGAAACUAAUUGGUUAAAUAAGUACUUGUUAAACUGUCAUUUUAUGUGUUGCACGUGUCUCUGCUGAAUGUUUCAGUAUGAAUAAAUUAUGUUGUAUAGUUUUCUAUCUACUGUGGGAUAGUGUAUUCCAUUAUUAUGUUUUAUGCAACAAUAUGUUAGGAAAAAAGUUGAUUACAUAAUUUAUGAUACUGUAACCAAGUAUAUUUUUUUAACAGGAUGGAUGAACUCAACGGAGAAAUUGUUUGCGCCGUUGAAAAAUGGUGCAAACUUAUUGCCGGUCUAUCUUCCGGCUAACGGGCCGCACUUGCCGAAACACCACUCCGUAGCAUGUUUCAGAUACCUUCACUGAAGAUGCGUACACUGUUGAUCCGGUACAUGGUUGAGAUUUUUGAUCCUAGCAAGGGCAGAUUCAUUGUACAAGACUUGGUUGGCGAAGUGUCUCUCGGUGUCGUGGAUGUUGAGUGCAUCUUGGCCUUGGAGAACCACGGACUAUCGGCAGAAGGUAUUCUCGGUGAGGAAGAUGAGGAUGUUAAAGAUCGAGUGCCACCUCAAUUCGUGAGCAAGACCACAGGUAACAAAGUCAUCGAUGAUCUGAUUGUGGACAUCACAAAAAAUAAAUAUGCCGACGACGAUUUCCUUCAGAGAGUUGUCCUCAUGUCGGUUGGAACAGUUCUUGCUCCCAUGUCGAGCAAGACUGUACCAAAGCAAUAUUACGCAUUGGUGGACGAUGUGAAGCGUAUAUCCAAGAUUAAUUGGAAUGCAUUCACCCUCCGGGUUCUGCUGGACUGCCUUCGCAACGUGAGGAAAGGCAAACACCUCCGCCAAUGGCCGAGUGGGAACUUAGCUCUCCUGCAGGUACACCUUUCAGACUUGUAUCAUUGCAAAAAAAAUAUGAUUGCUAAUUUACCUGUUGUAUAGUACUAACUGUAAUUUUUCAUAUUCAUGCAGUACCUGCAAUGGGAGAAGGUUACAGCCUCUGGAAGGUGAAUGCGCAUUCAAUCCUAGCUUGUCCAUGGAACCUCUAAUGAGGAAUUGGACUGAAGCUGCAGCCUCAAGGAGAGACAAGUUUGAUUAUGACCGCGGCCGUGGCCGUGGCCGUGGUAACAUCAAGGUAAUUCAUUACGUUGGGUACUUCUUAAAUCUUUUAUAUAACAUAAUUAGUUGUAUUAAUAUUUUUAUUGAUCAUAUAUACUUGUAUUUCACAUGCAGAUUGAAGACAACAUAACCAAGGAGUAUAGGGCGCACGAGCGCAAAGUACCCGAACCAGAAAAGCCAAAAAUGAAGCCCGCCGUUGGUGCGGCAAAGAAGUCCAGGUUAGCCUCAAACGCGGACGAGAUGAUGAACCUCAUCAUGAAGCGGUGUAUGGAUUACAUAUGCAGCCAAAUGAAGGAAAUACCGGAACAAGUAGCCGAGGUGACACACCCUUAAUUCUAUGUUCACAACAUUUUUGAAGUUGCAAAACCGUGCCGACAUUAAUUAAUAUUUUUUAUGUAAUGCAGAGAUUGUUAGAGAAGUUGAACCAAAAUGGUGUGAUGUACAAGCCAGCGGCUGCUGCGGCUUCCGGCAACAACAAUGCAGACCUAGAAGUGGAUUCCUUUGAGAAUGGUCUGCCAGAAAAAAAAGAAUUCGUGUAGAAGGAUGACUCUGACGGUCUAGAGCCGGUGAUUGAUUUGACACAGCCUGACGAGCCUGUUGUAAACCACAACAACGAUGAGGAAGUAUGUUUUCAUUUAUUUGUCUUCAUUUAUCUCAAUUAUGCAUCUUCAUUUUCGUUAACUGAACCUAUCAUAUUAUUUCUUUGUUAACUAGAAAACACCUGCCAAGUUAAAUGUUGACAAGACAACGAAGCCUACUGAUGAGUGCGGCGCAACACCGGAGAACCCUUGGAUUGUAGGUAAUUCUCCUCGAGCAGAAUCGUCCGACAUUGACAUUUCUGCAAGUUCUAUCAACAGGAUGUUGGGUAAGGGCAAGGGGAAAAAGUCUGCAGCAACCGCAAAAGAAGACGAUGUUAUAUCCGGGAAGCGCCGACGGACUGUUCCCAAGAAAUUUGAAUUCCCCUUUAAACUUGACAAGCCCGGCAAGCGAAGCGCUCGUGGUACUAAGCCAUCCGGCAACACUACCGCAACUAGAGGUACCGUUAGUAGCUAUCUUAGUGCUUAAUUUACUACCAUUUCAUGUACUCACUGUUCGUGACGUUCGUAAUUUAUCAUGCAGCUCUGUUUAUUGACAAGGACGUGGAAGGCUCUGUUAAGGACGAUUUGACACCGGAACUCAUCGAUGCUGCUGUUACAUUUGUGGAGGCAGCUGCUCGGUCUGAGAAGAAUAUGACAAAAAGAGUUUACUACAAUGAACGUGGCACCUCUGUGACUGUGGAGAGUAUACGACCGGUACUUGAGCAUACAUGGCUGGCGGAUGACAUAAGAUCUAUUACCAUGUCCUGCUAUUUAAGUGCAUAAUCUAGGUGUCACCUAUGAAAAUAAAAUGUUCUAUUAUUUUACGCAGAUUAUCGAUGCUUAUCAGACACAUUUGGCUCUGCGCAUUGGUCAUGAUCGGCACCUCUGUGCAGCCUGGAGGUCCAAAUACCUUGUUGAUCGUGCUAAGGCACGAGACAAGCCUAAACCGUCGAAAUACAACAUGGAUAGUGCGCUGAGCAGAGCUGGAGCAGUACGUAGGGUUCUGGACGAGUAUACCGUCCGUGAUAAGGUACGAUAUGUUCUUACUAGUUCAUUAACACUCAUUUCAACAAGCAUAAUUGCAUCUGAUUACAAAUGUGUUUCACAUUUUAGUCGUUUAUCCCGUUGAACGUCGGCAAUACACACUGGAUCACCGUGGUGAUGCACAACCGCAAGAAAGAACUCCGAGUUUUUGAUUCACUCUAUCCUCUCGAGUUCUCUCUCGACAUUGUGAAAGCACGUACUGGUACUCUCCCCAACAUUGAGCAUUCUUCAUAUGAAAUGUCAUAUGGUUUCUCACUACUACUUUCUUUCAAAUAGCGACUACCAAUAGCAAUUGAUAUGGAAGAGGCAAACCGUAUUACACCUGGCAAAUAUCCAGACGUCACUAAGUGGCCUAUCAUACCUCAGAUCGACAUGGCACUACAAGAGGACGCGUGAGUUAUGGUUCAUCAUUUUCUACUUACGAAAGACAUGUUCGUGUGCACGGUGACUAAUGUUUGCAUAUAUAUUAGGAAUUUUUGUGGCCUUUUUGUGAUUGAAGUUAUGGAGCAUUGGGACCGGGAUCGAUGGACCGCCGAUUUUACCCAGGUAAUUUGUCCUCUCUGUUCGUACACUUGUACAAUUGUUGUAUAAUACCAACUUCUAUUCAUAAAACCUUGUUCUAAAAAUUGCAGGGCACGGUUAAUGCAAGGAGAAGGCGUCUCGUCGCCGAGUUGGUUCUCUCACCUACCAACACGCUCGAAUGUGUGAAGAACAAAAUCCGCGACAUCGCAAAGAAAAGCAAGGCGUGAAGACAUCAUACAUGAUUCAAGAUUCUAGUUUUAGUCAUUUGUUUUAAGUCCGGAAACACGUUUCCCGGCAUGGACAACUUUGAUUUUCUAUCAUUCAUGUAAUAAGCACGAUACCAUGGAUUUUGUGUGGAUUUUUGGUCGCUCACACAUACUUGUGUAUGUGUAAUGCAGUCAGACUAUACGUUUCGUACCAAUAAACUUUUGCUUCCCUUCAUUUGUUCUACCUUAAUGUUUUUUGCUGCUGUGUUCAUUCUUUUCUUUCAUGGAAGAGUAAUUCAUUUCCUUUUUACUUUUGCAUAUUUUUGAUUUGAUUUGGCAUUAUUCAACAAUAAGAAAAAAAAUUGAUAAAUUCCUUUUUGUUUGCCUGAGAAACAACCUCGGCUGUCGUGCCAUCUGGUGUGGGAUCCAGCGCCCGAGACAACGACAGAUCCGGUCCCCGCGCGGGCGACCCAGUCGACGAGCGCUAGUUGGCGCGGGGGGACGCGCUAGGUCCGGUCCCGCCCGACCGCUCGGUGGAGACAGCCCGCGUGUCGGACGCAGACGGGCCACCCGUGGAUCCUGCGGUUGGUGGAGUAGGCAGAUCCGCCUGGGAUCCCGUGCGCAUGAUUGCCGCUGGAUCUCUCGGGAUCGGCGUCCGCAGGUAGAUCUUCCUCGUGUCUUGCGCCAGACUCCCUUGGCGUUAUGUGUUGCUUGAAAUCACGUUGCACAGUUUUUUUUGUUGCAUUUUUGUUAGCCUUUUCCUUUUCUGCAUCAUGAAGAUCAGGAUCAGUAGCACCAUCAAUCACAUGAUCAACUACUAUUUCGCCCCCUUGAUCAGUACGAUUUAGAGCUCCGGUGGAAGCAAAAGAAUUUCAGUGCUUAGCCGAGAACCCGCAUUAGGAUGCAGGUCAAACAAGGGCAAACUAUUUCGAAAGUGAUAUAAUUUAUUGGUUAAUAUAAUAUACUUAGACCUUACACAAAUGAACUGGGCACAAUGCAGAUAGGACUUGAUCAUUUAGUUCAACAAUAAACCACAAAAUACACUUAAAAUUCAUCACAAAUCUCCUUCAGGUUCUUGAUCUUAUCAACGUACCCAUGUUUCUGUUUGAGAAAAUCUGCAAUAAUAUACUCAAGUUUUUUCUUCUCUUGCUUCAGCUGGUCCCUCGCUCUCAUCACUUUGUCUCUCUCUAGCACCACCUGGUCCUGGUCUUUCUCAGCCUUUACCCUCAGGACCUGAUGUAGAUUGGCACAACCAUGGUCUGCCAUCUUAUUCUUCUCCAGCUCCUCUUUGAGAUCGCUAAGUGACAAUCUUGCAUUGCCCAACUACGUGAGAGCAUCCUCCUUAUCAGCCACCAGUUUAGCAAAGUCCAUUUUGAAAAAUCUCAGCUCUUCCUCCGUCCUCCUCUUUUCUCCAAUUAACAUGCAUUUUUCUUCAGCAUUCUUAAUAUUCUGUCUCAACUUCUCGUCAUACAUGCUCCACAGUUCUCUCAGGCAGAACUUCGUAGCCACUGACCACUCCGGGUCUACCCAUUCCACAUAGUUACAUUUCACUUCUUCCUACAGUAUGGAAAAAUAUGGUCUCAAUCAUAUAUGCACAAAUGCAAUACAAUUACAUGCAAUGCACUAAAAAUAUGGUCUCAAUCAUAUAAACACAAAAUNNNNNNNNNNNNNNNNNNNNNNNNNNNNNNNNNNNNNNNNNNNNNNNNNNNNNNNNNNNNNNNNNNNNNNNNNNNNNNNNNNNNNNNNNNNNNNNNNNNNNNNNNNNNNNNNNNNNNNNNNNNNNNNNNNNNNNNNNNNNNNNNNNNNNNNNNNNNNNNNNNNNNNNNNNNNNNNNNNNNNNNNNNNNNNNNNNNNNNNNNNNNNNNNNNNNNNNNNNNNNNNNNNNNNNNNNNNNNNNNNNNNNNNNNNNNNNNNNNNNNNNNNNNNNNNNNNNNNNNNNNNNNNNNNNNNNNNNNNNNNNNNNNNNNNNNNNNNNNNNNNNNNNNNNNNNNNNNNNNNNNNNNNNNNNNNNNNNNNNNNNNNNNNNNNNNNNNNNNNNNNNNNNNNNNNNNNNNNNNNNNNNNNNNNNNNNNNNNNNNNNNNNNNNNNNNNNNNNNNNNNNNNNNNNNNNNNNNNNNNNNNNNNNNNNNNNNNNNNNNNNNNNNAAGUAUAUGCUAUUAUGUGCUAAAACAAAUAUUAGACCUAAAAAGACAACAUAAAUACGGACUUUGUAAAUGCACAAAUUAAUUGAAAUUGUAUGUAAUUUUGGGCAGAACAAUGGAUUACCGCGAAGUAAAUCGAGCAUGAGGUAAUGUAAACAUAUAUUUACAGUACGGAACAACAUACCUUCUGACCACAGGCAAGAAAACGUCUGCCAGUGUCCAAGGAAUCAAAAGCAACUAGCCUGACGCAAGGUUCUCGAUGCAGACAACGAGAUGACAGAUCUUGAGCAAUGCCACUCCAUUCAUAGCAAGGGAUAGUCGUAGGAAGCUAAACGAAACAACAGAGAUAAUGCACAAAUCAAUGCCCUGUGUUAAAUACCGGAAAUGAAGAACCCUAACCCUAAGCCUAGCACUAUCUGGAGAUUAUAUAGUAGGAGCGUACCUGCAGGCUAGUCACGGAUUCGCCUUCGAAGAAGAGCUCGACUCGUCGCUCCACGAAACCAUGGCGUAACGUGACCGGCGGCAAGACGUGGAUCGGUGGCGGCGGCGGUCGCAGUGGAUAGAUAGAACGCGCGUGGAGAUCGCGAGGGAAGAACCGCCCCGACCAGGUGGCCAGCGCGGCCCAUUUAAACGGGUUGUAAUCAAAAUAAAAAUUGUUAAAUGGGCUCGGCAACGGGAGCGGCCGUGUGUCGCGCCAUCUAACGGCAUCCGUCACCCCCCCCCCCUCCACAUCAUCGCGACAAGCGGCCCGAGUUACAUACAAGCCAUAAAAUGGUGGGUUUUUCUUUUCUUUAUGAGGGGAAAAUGGUGGGGUUUUGGUACAAAGUCUAUACUAUAGACCAAAGUGAGCUGGUAUCUUCUAUAUCUAAAUGGUGGUCAACCAAAGGAGUGAAUUUUUUUUAAUUAUUACCACACAUAUUACAUCUUCUAUAUCUAAACAACUAGCCACCACUAACCUAUUUCUCUUAACAUGCAAGUUUGCCACCUCGUCAUUCAACAUGUAUGGAGAAAGGUCCACCACAACAUGCAAACAAAAUAUUCCCGCAACAACAUAUACAUGUUACACGUAACCAUUUCUCUAUGAAUAUAUUGCAAAACAUUCCCGCAACAACAUGUCGGGUAACGCCUAGUUUUCUAAUAUAAUAUAACUAGAGUGGACAACACAAAAGAUGCCAUCCUUACAAUGGCUAAAAUGCUAUCCAUUUUCCAUGAUUAAAGUCCCUAGUGACCGCCUCCUGUUUAGUCCAUAUAUGCUACAAGCACUAUCUCAAGGUACUGGCCUCUUGCAAUAGUAUAUAUCAUGUAUCAUGUAUGCAGUAACACAUUGUAAACACCUCACUAUUAGAUCACUGGAUUCAUCCUAACAUAAGUUUAGCAACUGUUCUACUCUUCUUCGCCCACCACGCUUCUGCACACGUUAACAGGAAAAGUUAAUGAAUGACAAGUUAAAAACAAUUAUAACCUACAAUGCGUACAAAAACUUACUUCUUAUUUAGUUUGCAUUUCUUGCUGCGUUUAGUGUGCCCUAGCAAUUUGCAUGCGCCGCACCUGAUUCUGAUCUCGUCGUACGAAAGUGGCCUACCAUUUUUCGACAUAGGGCGGUUCUCAUCUACCUUAGUUGCACCUUUCGUUGAUACUUUAAUAGGAUCUUGAACUUCAACUAUGUUGUCUUCACCAUCGUCUACAUAAUCAAUUGCACAAGUACUAAGAUCAGCCGUUUUCUUACUCAAAUUUUCCUUUAGCUGAUCAUACUCAUGGCUCUUAGCUAUCACGGUCUUCAAACUCUCCUGUAACUGAUCCCACAAAGCUGGGUGUUUGCAUGCUGCAUGCAUAGCUUCUGUAGCCAACACACUGACCUAGCUAUAUUUCAUUCUUUCAGCUGCUCCAGUCCAUCCGAAUCCCAACAGAUCGCUUGUGCGCCUCGCGGGCAGUCCCAACCUUGCGUCUUUCGUGAACCGCACAAGAACUAAACACUUUGGUAUUUCAGAUAUAUUCAAGUACUUCAGUACAUGGAAUAUGUGCUUGCAAGGUAGACCCUUUCGAAUCAUUCUUCUGCAGCUGCACCUUAUAGUUUCUGCGGAAUUUACUGGAGUGUACUCCACCCAAAAACGGCUCUUCCGGUUAUUCUUCCAGGCCACGAUGUACUGCUGUGAUCCGUCUCCGAGCUUUAUUUCUACAAUCUCCAUGCCGCCAAUUUUCCUAAGAUCAGCUUGCAACAUAUAGAAGUUUGCUGGAGUGAAGACGUGAGAAGUAGCUAUCUCAAGUUCCCUCGAGCUAGUAACUGGCACCGGUAAACUCUGUGAGGCCGUGCAAUCAUCUCGUGCCUCAUUCUCACGGAUACGUACAACGGCGUUCUCAUAGUGCAAAAUCAUAUCCACCAGGGUCAUUUCACCGUCUAGCUGGAGGUGAAGGCAUGAGUUUAGGCUUUCACUCCUCUGGUUGCUUUUCAUGCCAAGCCAAAAACCCUCUGUCAGAUAAGCCGCGGCCCACAGUCUCCUCUUCUUACACAUCCGUCUCAACCAUGUUACUGUUUUUUCCGACUGCCAUCUUUUGGAAAACGCGUGCCAUCUCUCCUCAAACGUGGCCGUGGACGUGCUGUAGUACAGAAGAGUUCAGAACUCCUUCAAGGACUUGUGACUGAGGUGAAUCUUCAUUUUUUUUCUGUAUGCCACGUACAUAUACGGUGCCACACGUCUGCCAAGACUUGGCGAAUUGCCUUGAUCAUCGCAGCGUCGGCGUCCGUGAUAACACUCUUCGGCAUCUUUUGACACAUGGACCUCAAAAAAGUCUCCAGCAGCCACACAUAUGUCUCUUCGGUCUCGUUCGAAACUAUGGCACAAGCAAAAACAGUGGUCUUCCGGUGAUUGUUAAGACCAACAAAGGGUAUGAAUGGCAUACCAUACCGGUUCAUCUUGUACGUGCUGUCAAAUACAAGCACGUCGCCGAAGUCCUCAUAGUCAUGACGAGACUGGGAGUCACACCAGAGCAUCCUAUUCAUAUGUCCUUCCUUGUCUAGCUUGUACUCGAAAAAGAAGCUAGGAUCCCUCUGUUUCCUACUGGCCAUGAUGCCUAUGACUGUGGCAGCAUCACCUUUUGAAAGCAGCUUCCUCUUCUCCCUGGCGCAAAGGUUGUAUAUGUCACGCCUGGUAAAACCAACACCGCCAUACCAUACAUGUUUGCUGAUGAAGGAAUCCAUCAUGUAGUGAAUUCUAAUCCCUGCAGCUCCCAUGGACAGUAUCUCAGCUCUCUGGUACUCUUUGAUUUUUCUGUGGGACCAAAGAAAAGGUACCUCGUCCGGUCCUGCCAAGAUAUGGCUAUGCUUGUCCUCAAAACUAUCAACAUACCAAACCCCACGCUUUUGGUCAAGCUUCACGGUCAGGUGCGCUUCACAGUGGCAGCGUGUCUCGGGUCUGAGCCUACGGCUGUGUCCUUCCUCGGUUAGCAACCUGCUGUCACAUUUUCCUUGUCUGAAACAAACAAACCGCCUAUAACGCAUAUGACGUGACUCGGUUUUGCUAUAUCUGACCCUAUUCUUUCUAAUGCUGAAACCAUUAUCUCUAGCAUAGCUGUUGUAGAAAUCAUACGCAGCCUCGUGAGACGUAAAAGUCAUUUGUAUUAUCUGCAUGAACAUAUCCCUCUUAUCAUCUGCACUAGCAGUAUCUUGGACAUUCUUUUUCCCCUCAACUUCUGUCACCUACACAAUCAUAACAUAGCCAUGAAAACAGUUUUCUAUGGUAUAACAUUACUUCCAUACAACAUUGAUUACAUACAUACCUCACUCAUGAUGACCGACGAUUGCGACUCCCCAGAAUUAGGUGCAGCUAAUGAUUCGACAUCAAGGCCUGUCUCCGCGUCGGAUUCACCGUAAUAGUCGUACGCAUUAUGACAUUCGGAAAUGAGCUGAAAAAUAUAACACAAAUACAUAAGUACUUAUCAUAUAAUAUUCCAGGAUUAAUUCAAUUUGCAUGCAUGCCAACAAAAAAUUCCACUUCCAUACCUGACUAAUGUAAUCUUCAUUCGAGAUCUCCGAGUUGUUUUCCUCACCAUCAUCAUGCUCAUUGUUUUCCUGACCAUCAUCAUGUUCAUCCAUCUAUAAAUUUUCAAAAUAUAAUAUUGUCGGAUGUCACCAAAAAAUUACAACAUGAUAAUGCCACUCACAUUAAGAUCUUCCAAUACGUUCCCAUUCUCUGACCUAUCUCCACGAUCUGAAUUUUUAUCAUCUGACCAAUCUUCUAUCCAGUCUUUCAUCAGUUCUCCAAACUCCAUGUCAUACAUCAUAUCAGUUAACUCAUCGUCCGCCAUUUCCUACAACAAUGAAUAUGUAUCAUCACAUGUGCAAACAUUAUCAAUGCUGAAAUAUACAACACCUAGCGCACGAUCAUGGAUGUUAAAUAAACUACACCAACCGGAGAGCGCCCCAACCGUGGGCGUUCAGAUCGUGCACACAACCGAUGCCAACGACCUCUGAUCGCCCAUGGAUCCUCCCCCCUCUCCACACCGAGCGGCGUUAAGGUACGUCCCACGAAUCCAGUACGUGAUCACUUUGGAUCGCGAGAUGUAGCGCUACCCGUGAUAACAUGCGCCGCCGGAUUCCGAGCCCACAGCACCAGUCGUGAUUACUUUGGAUCGCCGGAUACCUAGGUAAGCCGCCGCAUCAAAUAACGGAGCCGUCGUGCACACAACCGACGGCAACCGACGCUAGGUUAACCCUAGAAAGAAGAAACCCACUUUAGCCCGCGUGAUCACUGUGUAUAUCACGACGAGCAGCACUACCAGAACAAGAUCUGCGAUGGCCUGGACCGCCAGAAAGCUAGGUUACCCGCCCCGCUAGGUUAACCACUACGACGAAAACAGCGGCAGUUCGUUUGAUGCUGCCGCGAGCGAGACAAACGUGGGGAAACGGGAUGCGGUACCUGCGAGCGCUGGAGGUUGACGACGGUGCCGCGCGCGCUCUCGGACGAGAUCGCCGGCGAUAAGAUCACUGCCGCGGAUAUUCCUACAGAACCUCACCAGAAUGAUGGAGGAGCCGCGUGAAUGAUGGAGCUGCGUGAUUGAUUGAGCUGCGUGAUUGAUGGAUCGGCCGUCGGCAGGUCCUACCUGGUCGUGGGGUCGUGUCAUCCUUUUUUUUCGGGAUGUCACCGUAUACAUACGUAUGGGUCAUACGGGUUAUACGGGGCUUGGAUAUGGGCUACGGGGCUUGGAUAUGGACAGCGGCGGGCCGGAGAAAAAAUAGAUGGCGGCGUCAAGAAUACCCCUAGGAAAUUGAGUCAGGGGGUGCACCGGAGCAAGCCUCGGUUUCAGAAUGUUUCUUCUGAAAUACUCCACCAAAAGGGCAGCGAUAGUGAGGAACUCGCCACCGUUGCUCAGCUGCUUGGCAUGAGAAUUAAUACCCGCUGCAUCUGUACCCCGCAUAGCACAACAUUUCCGUCCACACUUCGGAAAGCAUCUUCAGCUUAGCAGCGGAUGGGACAGAGUCAUGAGAGACCAGCUCACGAGCAAGUUGGCGCGCUAAACCCAGUGUUUUGUUAUCGCCCAUAACGCCAUUAGCUCGUGAUCGACUGACCUGAACGUGACAGACAGGUGGCCCAGGGUGUAUAUGGCCGUCGAGUCGGCUAGCAUGUACGCUGACCAAAUCAUAGCCCUUAGCACACCGGAGUCUAUGCGCCGACGGAACUCUGCCAGGACAAGAAGCACUAGCUGCAGUGUGAAGCUCAGCAGCACCAUCAUUUGGAUCCCGCUUUCUUGCCAUUGCUCCACUUGUACCUCCACUGUCGCCAUUGUUUGUCGAUCCGCUGAAAUAACGGAUAUUGUAAUUAUUUUUUUACAGAUAACAAAGAUAUCAGUGUGCAUGGAUAUGUAGCAGGAGAAGUGGUGGAUGGAUCGAUGAGUAACCCACAACCGCUUGCGCCGCCGCUGCCAGAAGCGAUUUGGAGGAGGAUCGAGAUCAGCAAAGCUAGAAAAGUGGGGAGGAUUAGUCCUCAGCUCGCACCAUNNNNNNNNNNNNNNNNNNNNNNNNNNNNNNNNNNNNNNNNNNNNNNNNNNNNNNNNNNNNNNNNNNNNNNNNNNNNNNNNNNNNNNNNNNNNNNNNNNNNNNNNNNNNNNNNNNNNNNNNNNNNNNNNNNNNNNNNNNNNNNNNNNNNNNNNNNNNNNNNNNNNNNNNNNNNNNNNNNNNNNNNNNNNNNNNNNNNNNNNNNNNNNNNNNNNNNNNNNNNNNNNNNNNNNNNNNNNNNNNNNNNNNNNNNNNNNNNNNNNNNNNNNNNNNNNNNNNNNNNNNNNNNNNNNNNNNNNNNNNNNNNNNNNNNNNNNNNNNNNNNNNNNNNNNNNNNNNNNNNNNNNNNNNNNNNNNNNNNNNNNNNNNNNNNNNNNNNNNNNNNNNNNNNNNNNNNNNNNNNNNNNNNNNNNNNNNNNNNNNNNAGACACACACGGUAGCAGAAGAGUAAAUAUAAAGACGCCGUCGAUCAAGUCUUCUCUCCAUCCUUUAUAACACUAAGCUCUCUAGUUUUAAAGAGCCUACAUUUAAUUAAGGUCUCCAAUUAUAAUAGGGUCAUCCGAUUUUGACCGGGUCAACAAUUUCUCAAAGCUCCAUAAUUUAAUUAUUUUAUAUUAUACACUAUGCUUUCUACUUUUUAGAAUUGGGUAAUCCAGUUUUGACCGGAUCAACAAUUUCUCAAGCUCUCCCAUUCAAUUCUUUUAAUUCACUAUGUUCGGAAAUUUUGAAGCUCUUUCAUCCAAUUGUAAUAUUCAAUUUUGAUUUGGUUUACGAUUUUGACUAGGCCAAUGGUUUUUCAAAUCAAUCAGCAGCAACCGACCUAUAAAAACAUAUCAAUCCCCACAACCUCCCACUACCUAGAGAAAAGAAGCGCUGCCAUGUGACAUUGUAGCAUCAAUAUAGUACAUGCAACCACCGGCAUGGAAAUUAAAUAAAUAUAACUUAGUUAGUGGAUAACACAUAGUCACACCACAAACAGCCCACCAAAUCACCGCAUUAUAAAUAAAAAUAUAACACACUAUCAUCUCCCCCACCCGCCAAAUUCCAUCAGUUAUAGAAUAUAAGGGGUAUUAGUUUUUUAGAAAGUCAAAUUUCUUCAAUUUUGACCAAGUCCAGAGCAUCGACAUCCAUAAUAUUAAACAAAAAAAGUAUGGAAAUUCAUUUCAUGAUGAAUCUAAAAAUACCAAUUUGAUAUUCUGGAUUUUGAUAUAUUUCUCUACAAGUUUGAUCAAAUUAAAAAGGUUUGACUAUUCAAAAAAGUAGUACACCUUAUAUUUUGAAACAGAGUGAUUAUUAUUUUAAGAAACCAACAACACAAACGGUGCAGCAACGCGCGAACAACCCUUCUAGUUUCAUAUAUGCCCUCGAAAGAAAAAUGUCUGCUCUCCGUCGAGAUGAACACGUCCACACAUGGGCCGGCUGCUACCAACGAGACAAACUGUGAGUGUGUGUACCACCUGGAAGUAGUCGCCACAUGGACAUCUAUAUAUACAUAUUACCUGGCCAUCUUUCACAGCGCGGCUAGGUCGUUUUGAAUAUUUGGCACGAGUAGUGACGAGGCUGUGAUGAAUGGACAGCUCUAGUUGACUCUUUUUUCCUGAUAAAGGGCGAUUUUAUUAUCUCAAAAUAUAGCAUCGAAUUGAUAUAAAACAUUAUGAGUAACAGCCGACCUCUGCACAACUAGAAUGCACACAUUCAAAUCCCAAAGUCUGCCACCAAGAGCAUGCAUCUACAGCCGGACUUGGUAAUCCGGCGCCUCAAACGUCCGGAUGCAUCCGCGGGCACUGACCGGGUACCCCUCAAAUAAUGUAAUCUACAUCUGGACACCUCUAUUAUCAUAUCUCAAAUCUAUACAAACUCAUACACCUACAUCGAUGCACACACAUCGUCCGGCUACUCCAUCACUACUAAACAUGCCAUGGGAUGACAUAAAUUUGGCAUGUUUGGCUAUGGUGGAGUUCAUCCACGGCUGCCCUUGUUCUUUCCGGCGUCCUUGCCGUCCUUCUCACGGAAGUACCGGUCAAAAACGCAGUACGGAUCAAGCCGAAUCUGCUCGUCGCCGGAACUGUCCUCGUCGUCACUGUCCGUCUUCUCCUCCUUCGGUGGCAGUCCGACCAUGACACGGACCGUCCGAUUUUGCUCUACGGCGAGGGCACGCGUGUUCCUCCACUGCCGUUUUUUCACAAUGCGAGCGCGGAUGGCUUCGUCCCCAUACGACCAGCCUAAUGCAUAGUAUCACAUAUUAGUAUCAUAGAUGACUUUAUUUAUUAUGAUGCAUGACACAUAGUAGCAUAGCAUUUAUUAUGAUCGGUAUCAUUUUAGAGGUGCUUUUUACGAGAAAUCCACCAGUAUCAUUUUCAUGUUACAACUUUAAUGAUUUUUUAUUUGUGCAUGUCUUGUCAAUUUGAAAGGUUUGGCUGUGCGCGUUCUAAAAUGACAAGUACAGAUGAUGAGAGCACUAACUGUAGAUCUAGAAGUUAUUACUAUGUUUCUACUUUUUUUUUUGUCUUGGCGUUAUUUGUAUGCUCUGCAGUUCCAAUGCUGUGCCGUUGAUGUUCAUGCACACAAUGACCAGGCAACACCACUUUCCAAAGGAGGCGUCAUCAGAGCUGAGCUGUGUGUUAUCGGACCAGAGGACAUGGUCAUCCAUUAAUGUUUACGGAUCUGGAGAGAGGACAGCAAACCAUCUAAAAAAAUGUCCAAGAAACCACUACAUGCAAAGCCAAUGUUUUGCUCUUCGAAUCAGCUGCUUGUCUGAGAGUUCCAGAAAUUUGCAGGACUCCUGUACCCGAGCUGAGGCAACCUGGGCAUUUGAAGCAUAAGAAAGAUGAGGUCAGUGGUUUGAGAACUGGAGACCCUUAGCCCUCCCAGACAGGAGGUGACCUAAGCUCUUUGCUCGGGCACAAAAGGGCUACCGUGGAGAUAGUUACACUUGGGAGGCAUAGAUGCAAGCAGUUUGCAGAAGCCAUCCGAGAUGUUCCAGCUGGAGGCAUCAGCAAGAAGGUGCCGCAGGGACCAGAGUAGCUAAAGAAGAUAGCUAAACGAAACCCUGGCAAACCAACUGUUGCUCUCGGGUCAGCAGGCGCACACACACUGAACUGACCUUAUGGCAGCCUCUCAAGUAAGCUCCCUAUCCGAGGCAUCCUGAAUGAUCAACUGUAAUUUCUGUUGAAUGGUCAACGUUUUGUUGGGUUUUUUUUUCGAAAAGAAGGUUAUACCCCGGCCUCUGCAUCGGAAUGAUGCAUGCGGCCACCGUUUUGUUGGGUUAUGGAUCGAUUUUCAAGUUUGAGAACUAUUACACACAGAAAUCUACACGUGACAUUCAACUCGACAGUCGUAGUUUCACCGAUUGCUUACGAAUGCGUUCUGUUGCUUGGUUUAUGGGCAUCGCCAGAACUGACCUUCCUAGUUGGUAUUGAUCUGCAUCAGGACUCGUGGGAGUGGGACUAUCAGAUCCCAUGCAAACUGGGGCAACUGCACUACAAGCAACAGAUCUGUCGAGAGUACCUCCUUCCUCUUCACCGAUACAGAUCAUUUUGGAAUUCGUGCUUCUUCUGCUGGUAACAAGCAUGUAUGGUCAGUGAACAAAACCAAGUUAAGCGCACACUUGGAUUGGGCACGGCAAAAAACUGUUCAAACCCUGAAGUUUGUACUUCACUAAAUCCAAGGAUAUCUUUGUGUAUUGAGCACUGCUACAGGAACGACGUUCACCAGCCGAUAAUUGCACGACAUGCAUAUCACACCAUCCAUGGCCAAGUAUAAAACAGUAGCAAACGGCUAGAUUUGCCGUCGUGCAUGUGUCGUUCACUUCUGUGUCGUGUGUGAAGUACUUCGGUUGUGUAUUAGUAGGAUGAACUAAUAGUUGUAGUAGGCAUUAUCAUUCAUUCUAUGUUUCGAAUGUGACACUACACAUGAUUUUCACAACAGUGGUGAAAUCUUGUCUGGUAUGUAAAAGACACACUGGAUUAGCAUGGAUCAAACUCUUUGUUGUAUUAGCAAAUGUGGAAUUGUUCCUUACUGUACAUGUACACGUAUUUGUAUACAUAUAUAAUUGUAUUCUGAUCAUCUAUAUAUUGAGACGUGAGGCUAGAUGUUAGCCACCCACGCAAAACCCUAAACCUACCUUUUGACUUGGUAUCAGAUAGCCACCGGGCCGCCGCGUGAACCCUACGCUGCCGCCUGAUCCAUCUGUGCUGCCGCCGCCGCCGCCGCCGCGAGUUUCCUUCUCCGCCGCCGCGCGCCGCCCUCCUCCGCACCGCCGCGAUGUCGUCCGCCGCUCUCUCGCUCUCCAACAGCGUCGACACCAUCACCUCGCCUGCGGCUGCCACCGUUCCCGCCGCACUCGCCGUUCCGGCGAUCUCCGUCCGCCUUGGCCACCACAACUUCAUGCUGUGGGGAGGCAUCGCCGGCACUGUCUUAGCCGGCGCCAACCUCCAUGGCUACCUGGACGGCACCACGGCGGCACCGCACAAGACCAUCGCCGUCGGGACUGGCGAUGCCGCGACGACCGCCGCUAACCCGGCGUACCACCAUUGGUGGACUCAGGAUCAGAAGGUCAAGGGCCGCCUUCUUACCUCCAUGGAGGAGGACAUCGCAUGUCAGCUCACCAGCUGCGAGACGGCACAGGCGGUGUGGACGGCCGUCGGUGCCAUGUACGGCGCGCAAAGUCGCGCCAACGUCCGUCACAUCCGGCGUCAACUUCAGACGCUGAGAAAGGAGGAGAUGUCCGCGGCUGAGUACAUGCACAAGAUGAAGGCCCUCGCCGACACCAUGGCUGCCGCCGGCUCUCCAUUCGUGAUGAUGAGCUCUUUGAUCACAUCCUCACAGGACUGGGCUCCGCCUACAACUCCAUCGCCGCCUCCCUGGGUGUGAGUAACGCACCUAUGCCCUACUCCAGCUUCUGCUCGCUCGUCUUGUCGUUCGAAGUGUUGUAGGCUCAGCAGAGUGCGUCGGAGGGGUGGACUCCAUCGGCCAAUGCUAUGACUCGCUCGGGCCUCUACGGCCAGGGCGGACGUGCUCCCUACUCGGAGCCCUACCCCUCACAGGGUGGGGGUCGCCUGGCCGAUGGCAACGGCCAGCCCGGGCAAGGCCGCCAAGGCGGCAGCGGCGGCCCCAACGGUGGCCGCGAUCGCAACCCCUCCUACGCCGUGGUGGCCGUCACAACAAUCGCUGGCGCCCCCGGUGUCAAAUUUGCAAAAACUGGGGGCAUGAGGCCGAUGAUUGUCGCAAGCGCUAUGACCAGGACCACAUCACUCGCUCCGCCAACUCGGCCUCCACCAACACCGUCGACUAUCCUUGGGUACUGGAUACCGGGGCUACGGAUCACCUGACAAGUGAUCUUCAACGUCUCCAGGUUCACAAGCGCUAUGAUGGCAAGGACCAGGUUCAAGUGACCAAUGGUGCAAGUUUGUCUAUUUCACACAUUGGUCAUUCCCGUUUACCCGGUUCAUCUCUAAAGCUGCACAACAUCCUUCAUGUUCCACACAUAAGAGAGCAUCUUCUUUCUGUCUAUCGCCUUGUUUGUGAUAAUGACGUGUUUGUUGAGUUUCACCGUCGUCUUUUCUUUGUUAAGGACAAAGCAACCAGGCGCGUCAUUCUUCAAGGUAGCAGUCGGGGAGGGGUCUACCCGAUUCCCUUUGCUCGUGCAUCGUCCUCGUCAUCUCGCCAUGCUUCAUCCAGUGUCCGAGUCUCAUCGUCACAAUAGCAUCAACGUCUGGGUCACCCUACCAAUAACGUGGUCACCUCCAUUGUUCGGAGCCAUGACCUUCCAUGCUCUAGUUCAAAUACUUCACCAUUAGUGUGUGAUGCAUGUCAGCGUGCUAAGAGUCAUCAACUACUAUAUUCUAUGUCUUAUCAUGUCACUAUUGUACCUCUUGAAAUAAUUCAUUCUGAUGUUUGGGGUCCCGCUAUUGCAUCUUCCGGGGGGGUGGGGGGGUGCAAGUAUUAUGUCAGCUUUGUUGAUGACUACAGGCGCUUCACUUGGAUUUAUUUGCUUAAACAUAAGUCUGAUGUUGAGCAAGUCUUCUAUAACUUUCAGGCUCAUGUCGAACGCCUUUUGGAUUGCAAAAUCAAGGCCGUUCGGUCCGACUGGGGUGGUGAAUACCACAAGCUCCAUCGCUAUUUUCAACGCACGGGCAUCUCCCACCGUGUGUCAUGUCCACAUACAUCUCAGCAGAACGGUAUUGCCGAGCGCAAACACUGUCAUUUGGUCGAGACCGGUCUCGCCUUACUGGCGCAUUAGUCUCUCCCACUCCGGUUUUGGGAUGAGUCCUUUCUUACGGCGUGCUAUCUCAUCAACCGUAUGCCCACUCCGGUUCUCAACAAGGACACGCCCCUGUUCCGCUUGUUUCAUGUUCAUCCCAAUUAUUCCUCUCUUAGGAUUUUUGGGUGUUCUUGCUGGCCUAGUCUCCGCAAGUAUAAUGCUCACAAGCUGGAGUUUCGUUCCAAGAUGUGUGUUUUUCUUGGCUAUAGCCCUCUGCAUAAGGGCUAUAGGUGUCUUGAUCGCACCUCGGCUAGGAUCUAUAUCUCUCGUGAUGUUGUUUUCGACGAGUCGGUUUCCCCUUACUCCAGCCCAGGUGUCUUGGUUGACAUUGCUUCUAUUAAGCACACCCUCACUUUUCCAUCUAAUGAACCGGUUUCGGAUGUCCAUGUGCGGAAAUACGACCUGUCAUAUUUGUCACCUGACUUGUUUUCUGCAGAUGCUACUCUAAUCUCUUCCCAGGAACCCGUCGCCGCACCUGCAUCCGCCGGCGUGAUCGACGUGCAUGGCCCCAACAUGCAUGCCAUGCCUCCCGAGGCGGGCUCAUCGGCCUCGCCCGCUGGCGCGUCCAUGGCCCAGUCUGCCUUGCCCGAUGGCGCGACCGCAGGCCCGACUGGGUCGCCCGUUGCGUCCCCCGCCUUGCCUGGGUCGGCCCGGCCCGCCUCACCCGUCGUUGCCGGGUCGCCAGCCAUGUCCCCUGGACUGCCGUCUCCGCCUGGCUCUCCGUCGUCGCCUGGUUCGGCCCAGCCCGAUGCGUCUCCCCAGCCAGUGUCGCCUGUUGCUGAAGAUCGUUCAGCCGCGACACCACUGGUCGGGUCUCCGUCAUCGCCGCCACCAUCUACCGACGAUGCGGCUCCCGGGCACACUAUGGUCACCCAUAACCGCGAUCAUACGCGUAAGGCCAAGACAUACACGGAUGGCACGGUGCGGUACGACGACACUCGUCGGCGUGCAUUCUUCGCCGCACCCACUUCUCAUCGUGAUGCUCUUGGCGAACCGGCUUGGCGUGCCGCCAUGUCUGAGGAAUUUGUUGCCCUUUGUCACACGCACACAUGGGUGUUGGGGCCUCGACCUCCUGGUGUUAAUGUUGUGGGCUGCAAGUGGAUCUUUAAGACCAAGCAUCGACCUAAUGGUUCUGUUGACAAGCACAAAGCUUGCCUUGUUGCUCGUGGUUUUACUCGACAGCAAGGGAUCGACUAUGGAGAUACUUUCAGCCCCGUGGUGAAGCCUGCCACGGUUCGUCUGGUCCUCUCUCUGGCUGUCUCCCGCGGUUGGAGUCUUCGACAGAUUGAUGUGAGUAAUGCUUUUCUUCACGGUUUCUUGGCCGAAGAUGUCUACAUGCAGCAGCCCCCUGGUUUUGAGGAUGCUCGUUAUCCCUCUCAUGUCUGCAAACUCCCGAGGUCCAUCUAUGGGCUCAAACAGUCGCCGCGUGCCUGGUAUGCUCGGUUAUGUCGGCGUCUCUCAUAGCUUGGCUUUAUCCCCGCCAAGGCAGAUGUGUCAUUGUUCAUAUUUUCACAUGGUACUAUUCAGAUGUACAUGCUGGUGUAUGUUGAUGAUAUUGUGAUUGAUGGUUCUACACCUACUGUGGUGGAUCGCCUUGUGCAGUCCUUGUCUGCGAGUUUUCCCAUCAAAGACUUGGGCAGGCUGGAGUACUUUCUUGGACUGGAAGCGUCCUUUCAUUCAGGGGGCAUGACAUUGACGCAGAAGAAGUAUGCACUUGAUCUCCUUCAUCGCGUCAACAUGGAGAACUGCAAGUCCACUUCCGCUCCACUUGCUACAUCCGAGAGCCUCUCGCGUCAUAGUGGUGCAUUGCUGAGUACCGAUGAUUCUUUCAGGUAUCAAAGUGUAGUUGGAGCACUUCAGUAUCUGACACUCACUCGUCCAGAUAUCUCCUUUGCCGUGAACAAAGUGUGCCAGUUCCUGUCUCAGCCUACGGAGGUUCAUUGGGAAGCAGUUAAGCGUAUUCUGACGUAUGUCAAGGGUACGCUAGACACGGGACUACGGAUUCUUAAGUCCAGAUUUACUGGAGUCAGUAUAUUGACCGAUGCAGACUGGGCAGGUUGUAUUGAUGACAGGCGUUCUACUGGUAGUUUUGCUGUAUUUGUUGGACCCAAUCUUAUAUCUUCGAGUUCCAAGAAGCAGCCUGCAGUCUCGAGGUCUAGCUCCAAGGCAGAGUAUAAGGCAUUGGCCAAUGGCGCAACUGAAGCCAUUUGGAUAGACACAGUUCUCACAGAACUUGGAGUCACACGGCAGCGCACACCCAUAUUAUGGUGUGAUAACUUAGGGGCAACUUACCUGACGCCGAAUCCAGUGUUUCAUGCUCGGACCAAACACAUUGAGAUUGAUUUCCAUUUUGUGAGAGAACGAGUAGUUGUUGGUAAACUGAAAGUCGGGUUUAUCUCAACUGAUGAUCAGCUAGCGUAUGUAUUUACUAAACCUGCUACUCGACAGAUGCUAGACCGCUUUAGAACCAAUCUGAAUCUUGUAUGUGUUCAGAUUGAGGGGGCAUGUAAAAUAGGGUCUAGCAUAUUGUACAUGUACAAGUAUUUGUAUACGUAUGUAAUUGUAUUCUGAUCAUCUAUAUAUUGAGACGUGAGGCUGGAUAUUAGCCACCCACGCAAAUCCCUAAACCUACAUUUUGACUGUACACAAUACAAUAAGAAAGCCAUUUCUCGAGUAUGUACAAAAUGAAUUGUUGGUGCAAGAAGAAGAAACAAAUCUCAAAGCGAAGUGAAUAAGUGAUAGGUAGAUACUUGUAGAUAAUACUGGUGUUCUUAAUUUAUUCAUUCUACAGGGAAGAAGCAUGGAUGAACGCAAAUCAAGCAGCAAAUGGAAAUACAACCACAACUGACAGAAGUAGCAUAACGCCAUCAUGAAUCACACCCCAUAGUGCACACAUCAAGGGCUUAGCUCAGACCGGGGAUAUCUCAUCGUUCGGCUCAGACGAUGGGCUCCAUGGAUCAUCAAGGGGCGCCUCAAGAGAGCCAAAGCCAGGCGGGGGUAGCGGUACAGUCCUAGUAGGUUCCAAAUCGAUCUCUGUCGCAGCCGUGAGCCUACCAGUUGCAAGAAGGUUGGUUGCCCGCGUUACCUCUUGCUCCUCUUCUGGCUUGCUCCUAGGUUUGAGGAUGUUUCUUCUGUAGUACUCCACCACAAGGGCAGCAACAGUGAGGAGCUCGCCGCCGUUGCUCGGCUGUUUGGCAUGAGAAUAGCCACUGCAUCUGUACCCCGCGUAGCACAACAUCUCCGCCCACACUUGUGAGAUCAUCUCUAGUGUAUCAGGUCUGCCACACAGCUUGCAGGCAAGCUUGUAUGCUGCUUGCAGUGUUUUGUUACGACGACUAUGCCCUCUUUUUGUUCUAUCAAAUAUUUCCAACCAACUGUAUGACGGCGUCGUUAGGAAGUUGACCAAAUCCUUGGUUCUGUGGCAAUUUAGACUCGUGAGACAAUAGCACAUAUCAACAUACAUAGCGCGGCUUACAGAUCCUGGUAACAUGUAGGGGCGUGCGGCAAGGAGGAAAAGCAUGUAAUUCGAGAUUGCCUCGGUUGCCUCAGCAAGGGAACACACAUGAUCUUGCACCAACUUGCCUUGUUUUUACUGCUAUUGCAUAUGUGAAAUGAAAUUUGUUCGUCUACUAUGUGCUAGCCUGCAAUACAUGAUAUGCACACGUGUCACCAUUGGUACAUGUUGUACUAUGCGACCUGCAUUUAAAUAUUGUGCCCUGCCUUCUUUAUAAGCAUAUUUACAUCGGCAUGAUUUUGCUACAGAUCUCUGUGUUGUUUUUUUAGAUUUGUGUUGCACAUGUACCUUGCUUGUCCUGGUCCUGUCACUAAUAAAAACUAAUGUAUCAAGUGCCAGUUCAGUUCUGCCAUGUUGCAUUACCAUGGGUAGCAUGUAUUAGUCUGCUUAGGUUUUCUUGUUGUGUAGGGCUGCUCACAGUUUCAUUAUGCUUUGUUUGUUUCCUUGGUUCUUUUGCCUAGGACCGGAACAAUCCUUUGGUGUUGUCUGCGGCUUUGGUACUUUGAUAUUUCUACCCAUUCCUUUUGUGGUGCCAAAGAAGACAGUCGGAACAGUCUCAUCAUUCCCAUAUGGUACUGAUGGUCAGUUUUUUUACGUGCAUUUCAGAAGCCUCUAUGGUGCAAACUUAUAUCUCUGGACGUUUCCGCUUCCGCGGCUCUAGACAGAAGCUUCCUCAUAUGGUAAUAAAUUGCUGGUGGGGAGCCCCAUUCAGCUUGAGGUAAUAAAUAAGCUCCCAUCUUUAUUAAAUUUGCAUGCUUUUGGCAUGUUACUUUAUCUAAAUUUUAAUAUGAUAUUCUUGAGAUGUAAUUUUGGGAAAUAGUUGGUUUUCAGAUUUUUUAUUUUAUCCUGAAACUAUUAAUGCUGAGAAAGUGAGAUUCAUAAUAUCUAAAACCUUUUAUAUAAUGGCCACUCUAAUCAAUAAUAAGUGUUACAUAUGUACUUACUAAGUCCUAUAUAUAUGCAUGUUCAAUAAAUAUAUUGCUUAGGCUACUUGUGCCUUGGUUAUAGAACAUGAUAUUGUGUAGAAGCAGAAAAUACUUAAAUUGGACUAUUCAAGAAAUUGAAUUAAGCAUUUGGUAGAUCGUGUGUAGACUUCCAUUGUCUUGCAGUUUAUGAACAUGAUAUUAUUGUACUACGCUUUGACUCUUAACUAAAAUGUCACAAUAUUAGCUCAGAUGCACCUAUGCUUCUAUUCAUGACCGCUUAGUGAUUUGUUUCUAUCUGUACAUUUCCAUAGUAUGUCAGGCUCCUGUGAUUAUGGAGUUGGACAUUGUAAUGAUUUCCAUUUUGUGAGAGAACGAGUAGCUGUUGGUAGACUGGAAGUCAGGUUUAUCUCAACUGAUGAUCAGCUAGCGGAUGUAUUUACUAAACCCGCUACUCGACAGAUGCUAGACCGCUUUAGAACCAAUCUGAAUCUUGUAUGUAGUUCAGAUUGAGGGGGCAUAUAAAAUAGGGUCUAGCAUAUUGUACAUGUAUUUGUAUACGUAUUCUGAUCAUCUAUAUAUUGAGACGUGAUGCUGGAUGUUAGCCACCCACGCAAAACCCUAAACCUACCUUUUGACUGUACACAAUACAAUAAGAAAGCCAUUUCUCGAGUACGUACAAAAUGAAUUGUUGGUGCAAGAAGGAAGAAGAAACAAAUCUCAAAGCCAAGUGAAUAAGUGAUAGGUAGAUACUUGUAGAUAAUACUGGUGUUCUUAAUUUAUUCAUUCUACAGGGAAGAAGCAUGGAUGAAAGCAAAUCAAGCAGCAAAUGGAAAUACAACCACAACUGAUAGAAGUAGCAUAACGCCAUCAUGAAUCACACCCCAUAGUGCACACAUCAAGGGCUUAGCUCAGACCGGGGAUAUCUCAUCGUUCGGCUCAGACGAUGGGCUCCGUGGUUCAUCAAGGGGCGCCUCAAGAGAGCCAAAGCCAGGCAGGGGUAGCGGUACAUUCCUAGUAGGUUCCAAAUCGAUCUCUGUCGCAGCCGUGAGCCUACCAGUUGCAAGAAGGUUGGUUGCCCGCGUUACCUCUUGCUCCUCUUCUGGCUUGCUCCUAGGUUUGAGGAUGUUUCUUCUGUAGUACUCCACCACAAGGGCAGCAACAGUGAGGAGCUCGCCGCCGUUGCUCAGCUGUUUGGCAUGAGAAUACCCGCUGCAUUUGUACCCCGCGUAGCACAACAUCUCCGCCCACACUUGUGAGAUCAUCUCUAGUGUAUCAGGUCUGCCACACAGCUUGCAGGCAAGCUUGUAUGCUGCUUGCAGUGUUUUGUUACGACGAAUAUGCCCUCUUUUUGUUCUAUCAAAUAUUUCCAACCAACUGUAUGACGGCGUCGUUAGGAAGUUGACCAAAUCCUUGGUUCUGUGGCAAUUUAGACUCGUGAGACAAUAGCACAUAUCAACAUACAUAGCGCGGCUUACAGAUCCUGGUAACAUGUAGGGGCGUGCGGCAAGGAGGAAAAGCAUGUAAUUCGAGAUCGCCUCGGUUGCCUCAGCAAGGGAAGACACAUGAUCUGCAUCAACUUGCUCCUGAUCUCUGCGCCAACGGAGGUAGAUAUCAGUGGCUAUGUGCCACGCGAGGAUGCUCUGAUCAAAGUUCAUAUUCACAAACUGCUCCAAAUCGUAUAAACGGCGCCACUUCUGUAAGGCCGCCCGACCCCGUGAAUUGAUGAUGUGAUCUGGCUCCUCUUCCAUGGACUUAGAGUACAAGAAGUACUCAUCCUUCCUGCCCUGAUUACUCAUGAGCACCUGUUUCACCAGUAGUUCCUUGACAGUUCUAGAGACGGGGAUGGAGUGCGAGUAAACCAGUGUGUUCCACCAGACCUCAACCCCCAUCCAAACCGCAAUUUUGCUUUUUGGGCUCGUCCUACUACCAACACACAAGUCAAUCAGAUUUUGUUGCCCCAUAGAGCACGACCACCACCAUCUCGACCCAUCCCUCUUAGGAAGGAUAAAUCGGCGGAUAUACGCGAUUGAACGGGCAAGCAAACCCCACACGCGCCUUUCCUGUCCCGCCAUGCCAUAGGCUAGCUUCCCUAGUAUCGCGCUUGGCCAUCUCGAGAACAUGACCCUUAGUGUUGAAACCAUCUCCAACGUAACAGCCCCACCUAACAAAACAUAUGUGAUGAUAACGUCUACUCUGCUGUACUGAUCACCAGCUGACAAGCCCGACCUAUGAAAUAGCACAAAAGCAACGACGGUGAACACGGGAGAAAUGACGUGAAUGCAGAGGCCAUACCAUGUUUGGAUCGCCUCGGCCUUGCUGUACACGACAUCGUGCGUCAAGCUGAGUUGCAUCUCCACCACCUUGUAUAGCUCAUCCACGGGGACGACAUCAUCGUCGCCGCUCAGGUGUAGCACUAUGUUGGUCAAAGGACCCUGGAAUAGAUCCUUGGGAACAUCCAUUAGGAGGUGGGCUAUCCGCAGCCGGCCCUCUGUGUCCCUCCAAUCCGUAGGAGGUCUGGUUAAAGAAGAACGAGUGAUCGUCUCCAAGGAGCGAUACUUGUUGCCCGAUGCUCCAGUGUUGGCACGCUUUAGAGCACACACCCUCUCCCCGUACCUGACAAGGCCCAACAUGAACAUGAGGACAGAUGCAUUCCGAAGCAUGCAUGGCAUGCCGCAUGGAUGCCAACGACUGUGGACUCGUAGAGAACGUAGGUUGUCGCGGCGAGCACGUGCAGGUGCCGCAGCCACAACCGGUUGUCCUCUAUAGCGUAGGCAGUUAUGUUAUCCUGGCCGCCAAGGUGCAGCAGUAGGAAUGGUCCCCAAAAUGCCAUCAACUCGUGAUUGUCUGACCUACUUGUCACGUACAAAUGGCCGAGGGUGUAUGUUGCUGUCGAGUCGGCCAACAUGUAUAUAUGUUGACCAAAUCACGGCCCUUGAGCAAUUCCAACGCGCCGUCCCGAACGGAAGCGUGCUUUGUCCGAUUUUCGUCUUUUGGGUCGACCGUCCCCUCAUCAUUCGCCCCGUUUUGCAUUUGGGUUGGUCUUACGCGCCAACCCAUUUCAUGUUCGCACACAAAUUUUAAAAAGGCAUGCGGCCAUAAAUCAUGCCAACGGGCCAUGCAAUCACCCAGAGUUCGUGCCGGCGCCAUGCCAGCACACAAAAAGAGGCGCGAGUUCAACCACGCCAUCUCGGCCGUGGUCAUGCCAGCACACUGCCGGCAUACACAAAAAAAGGGUGGCGCUCUCCGCCAUAGAUCACUUGUCAUUGAACUAGAGCAUGUCGGCAUGCAUCUUCUAGAACCACGGCCUCUUCCUCGGUGACACCGUGCUCUUCAUGAUCUCCACCCCCAUCAUCAUGGUAGCAAGCACCACUUCUUUUGCCUUGGUCUUGAUCUGUAACAUGACUCAUGGGACUGACUAUGUGUGGACUGGUUAGCAUUCCAUCAAGUCCCUUCCUCUUCGCGGGUACCAGCGACACAAAAGACAAAACAAAGUUAAUCACAGUUUGAUCGAGCACGGCAUGAAAUCAGGGCUAUCCAAAUUCCAAAGGCUGUUUUUACUUCACUGAAUCCGAAUAUAUUUUUGUGCUAAUAGGACGCACUAUAAUACACGCUUCAUCGGUAGGGCAAUAGUGUUGAUGUAGAUGCACUCUAUGAUCGAAUCCCCCUCCGGCAAGAUGCCGAUAAAGGCCCCAAGAUGGGAUCUUGCGGAAACAGAGGUUUGCGGCGGCGGAAAAAUAUUUUGGUGGACGCUUGUGUUGGUUUGGGAAUAUUUCUGAAUUUAUAGGCCAAGAAUUAGGGUUGGAGGAGCUCUGAGGGGCCCACAAGCCCUCAGGGCACACACCCCUAGGGCGCGCCUCUGAGGCUUGUGGCCGCCUCGGAACUCCUCUGACUUCAUCUCCAAGUCAUAUGUGUGUCUUCUGGUCCAAGAAAAAUCAUCGUAAAGUUUUAUUCCGUUUGGACUCCGUUUGAUAUUCCUUUUUCUAUAGAAGUCAAAAACAAGGAAAAAAAAGAAACUAACACUGGGCUCUGGGUUAAUAAGUUAGUCCAAAAAAUAAUAUAAAAUAACAUAAUAAUGCAUAUGAAACAUCAAAAACAGAUAAUAUAAUAGCAUGGAACAAUAAAAAAUUAUAGAUACGUUGGAGACGUAUCAUGCAUAAUAAUGCUUUAUGGAGUAAUUCUAAUGUCUUUUCUUUCAUAAUAUGCAAGGUUUACAUAAAGAAGAAGAAUGCCGACAGCUGGAAUUCUGGACCUGAAAAAGCUACGUCAGAGUUACCUAUUCUGGACCUUAAAUUUAUUUUUGGUGUUUCCUUCAUCCCUCAACCUUCUGAAUCCAUAUAUUUUCUUGGACUUAUUGCUUCCUGUAUGCAAGUUUGCCUAUAUCUGGAAUUUAUUUUUGAUGAAAAGGGGUCAGCCACGCCUCAUUUUACUGAAAAUGAGGCAACAAAGCCAAAACCUGUUCACAACGCUCGGGCCACGCCAAAGUAGCCGAGCCAGAAGUUUAAACCCCACAAGAAGCCUCAAUAGGCUGGGGAAAUCAAACAACACAGUGCAAAAAGGAAGCGAAAGCAACAGGCUACAUGCUAGCUAUUAGCAUCAGCAUUUUUCUAGCUGGAAUGAGCCCUCAUGAUGAAGCUUUUUGCCUAUAUCUGGAUCAUCCUGUAAGAUAUUUUUUGGAUCUUAUAAGCUACUAUAUUUGGAAAAGCAAGAUUUUUAUUCUUCAGCAAGCAACUGGACAGUUUGUAGUUGAGUUGCUCAAAAUGUCAGGUUCAAAUGCCCGAAUUUUGGGAGCAUUCACCUCGCAGAAGAAAACUUUCAGUUUUGCCGCCAAGGUUUGGAAGAGACAACACUGUUAAAUUCCCCAAUUUUUGUUAAUCUGUUUGACUUCCUGGAAGAACACCGUAAUUUGUCAGUAGAUGAGGAUCUUCUUCGCGUAUCGCGUUGAUGCCUGCCAGUGCCUCGCCGCUUCCAUUAAAUGACAAGGUUUCUAUUGGAAGCAACAUGGCAAAUGCAUGGCGGUGAACACUCUUGCCUUGUAGCAGUGUCGUAGCAAUAUGAUUCGCGCCCUCGACAUCCACGACGAGGUGGUCUUCGAGCAUGAGUCCAAGAUGGCGGCUCUCCUAGGAUUCUACUCUUGAGUUCUUGGGCCGACCCAGGGAGCCCGUCUGGCAUUUCGACCUCGACGCUUUGUACUACCAAGGCUGCUCGUGUUGACAUGCUAGCUUUGGUGGCCUAUUUUGAUCUUGCAGAGAUAAAGGUUGUGGUGAACCUCCUGGAUCAGUCCAGCGUUCCUAACCCCAACGGGCUUGGCCCAAUCUAUUACAAGGUGGCCUGGAGUACGGUGGCUGGCGGCCUGCAACAGGAAAAUCUUACGCCCUGCUCACUGCGGGACAUAGUCGGGGCUUCGAUAGCGAUCAAACCCAAUGGCGGGAGAUGGGUCGGCCCACUUUUUGCAUUUUAUUUUUCUUUCUUUAUUUUCUAUCUUUUAUUUUCGUUUAUUAAUUUUUCUGUUUCUUUUUAGUAUUAAUUUUUAAUUAUAUUCAAGUUCAUUUGUUUUAAACAAUCAUGUUUAUCAAAAUAAAUUCUUGGAAAUUUGCAAAAUAUUGGUGUUUUUCAUAAAUUGUUCAAAACACUGUUCCAGUUUUUCCAAAUUUAUUCAUAAAUUCAAAAAAUAUUUUCAUUUUUGAAUUUUUUUAGGAAUUUUCAAAAGAAUAUUCAGAAUUUCAAAAAAUGUUCUGUUGUUAAAUCUUUAUCUCACAAACUAAAAAAUUGUUCGCAAUAUUUAAAUUUGACUGGAAUUUUUGUGUAUUUUAGAAGUACAAAAAAUAUUCUUGUUUUAUUUUUUCCAUAAAUUCAUAGUUGUUGGAACUUUCGUAAAAUGUUUGGGAUUUUUCAAAUAAAAUCCUGUUUUGCAAAAAAAUUCAAAAUUUUAAAAAAUGUGCUGGUUUAAAAAAUUGUUAAUAAAUGUUAACAUUCAUGUUUUGAAAAUUCAGGAAUUUCAUCUAAUAAGUUUUUUAAUAUUAAAAUGAAAACACUACAGGAAAAAAAUCACUACAAUGGACCGAACCCGCGGUGCAGUGUGCCAUGGUUCUAAUUGGCCGGCCAACUCCGUCUUGCAUGUGUGUGUCGCGUCGCUAGUUGUCGCCAUGAGCUUCCCGUAGCAACCGCUUCUAGCACGAUGGUGGGUUUACAUUUGUGCCUGGUGUAUUGCCCUGCCCAAGCAACCAGGUAAUUCCCACCUCCAAUGCAUGCAAUAAUUACUACCUAGCAUGCCCGGCCAUCCCCUUGCUUCGCUCAUUGCCAUGAGCUUCUUUACGUCUUCUUUAUUUGGAACUCGAAGAUACUGCGAGCCAAAAACCCAAAUUAUACUGUCUUGGCAAAGACACAGACACCUUUGAUGGUGGUAUCUUCGCCAGUGCAAAGAUACUCAUCGGCGUAGUUGGCUGUAACAUCAUAUGGGAUAACCCUCAUCGCUGAUGAAAUUUAUUGAUAUGCAUUAAUUAAAACGAAUCAAACCGACGGCAUUCCUACGUCGGGUGAAGAAACGACAAUUUUGGCGCGCAAGCCUCCAUGAUGCGGACAAAAAGUGACCUACGCAUUCGGUAUCGCGUACGAAAGAGGUGAGACGGAUAUGUAGGUACUUCGGCAAAGUAGUCCUUCAUGAGCAUCUUGUCACCGAGAGCUCAGUUACGGGGAAUGUAAAGCCGGCCGACCGUCAAUCCGCGCCGCUUUUUGUUUGGCCUCGCCUCAAAUUCGUCGACUAGAUGCAACAACACUAGAUUGCCGUCAUCAUUGUCGAGGAUCAAAUCUUCUAUGUCCGAAUCGUCAGACGAAGAUGAGGACGAACUCUAAUCCAUAUACAAAAUUUACACCAGCCGACAUGAGUUUCACCCGAACCUACUCCGUGGGAAAAUCAAGCACGAACCGGUCGAACAUACCUCGCACGCUGACCGAAGCUACCCCGCUCCACCCUUUUCUUCUCCAUGCAUGUCUACUUUUAUGUUCACUGAUAAAACUUCGCCGAUGAGGUACGUUUUGGUGGUGCAAGAACUAAUCUGGUGAAACCCUUCUCACUAAGAAAAAACAUUAAGCAAAAUCCAGGGCACAUGGUGAGUAAAAAGAAAUUAAAUAUUUAUACUUUUAUUAUUUAAUAAAUGUUAAGUGUUAUUUAUGCCACAUGUGUAAUAUCUAUAGUUUCAAAAAAACGCAUCCACAGUGCUAAAUAUGAAUUGUAUAUGUAUUUAAAGUUACAUUACUUUUUCUAUUUUUGUUGACAUAAAAUACAUAUUUGAACCAAACCCGAUAAAUGUGAGAAAAAAAUAAGAAAACAUAAAAUUGCAUGCUUUCGUGGAUAAUUUGUGAUACUCCAUGAACAUAGUGUAUAUAUCUAUGUGUAUCCUUAAAUAUGUUGAUAGAGCUCUUUAAGGAGUAUGGUCAUAGAAAUAUCCUAAUAGAGUUUCUAGUUCAUGAUUAUGUGUAUGUAGCUUUUCUAACCCCUCUCUCAAGGUGACUAGGAAAGCCUUCCUCCCCUCGAUCUCCACAGGUGAGUCGGUGGAUUCGCCUCCCCUCCGUCUGGCGCUACGGCGGCCGGUGGCGGGGAGGGGAUUUCUAGUGCCUUGAAUCCGGCUAGUAGAUAGGUAGGGUUUUAGUUCUGGCAUGGGGCGUCGUUUGGAUGGAUGGCGGCGCUUCUUCUUCUAGUCAAUCUUCUGGGCUCCGAUCCUCCUCAAGUUCAUCCGUUGGGACGGAUUAGACGGAGCUCCGGUGUAGAUUCCUGCCAGCUCUUCAAGGCGGCGAGGUUAGGGUUUCUCGUCGCGCGUACGCAAUGGCGAUAUUUGAUGUCAGGUUCUUCAGAUCUAUUCAAGGAUUCAACAGCGACGACUGCGGCUCUGGGGCGCCGGUCCUUAGGGGCACGUGCACGAAGACUUCCUGACUGUCAUUGACAAGGUCAGGCCGGCUCCGGUAUGAGAGCGGCGACAACGGCACGUUAGCGGCUAGUUCUGGCAGCGGCAAUGGUCGUUCGGUGGUCCAUGGACCUCGAUAUAAUUAUUUUGUUUGAGGUGUUUUGAACUUCCGAUGAAUCUUUAUAAUAGAUUUGAUCAUUUUCGUAAAUAAAUAAACGUGGAGUAUAUAAAAUUUACAAGGUGCUUGUGAGGGAAUCAUUAGCGUGAUGUUUUACCUAUUUAUUUGUGGUCAAAUGUGUCUAGCAUUUUAGGGAGGGCUCAACAAUCCAUUAAUAAAUGUGCAUGUACUAUAUUUGGAAUUGAAAUUGAAUCACUCACAUUUGUGGUUCAUGCCCACUAUAUCACUAGGCCGAGCUGCAUCUCCACCACCUACAAGGAUGACCAGGUGUACCACUAUUUUGGCUAACAACUUCUGCAAAAGAUCUUUCAAAACAUGAGGCAGGAGGCAAGCUAUCCGCAACACACCCUCUGUGUCCCUAGGGGUGACACCAAGCUCUGAGAACAGGGGUGAGAGAUGUCAAAACUUACUGAGCGUGCCAUUAACAAAUUGAAGGAUCGGUACUUGCUGCCCGAGAUGCUACUGCCGGCAGGCUUCAACCCCAACGCCCUCUUCCUGUACAUGACAACCACGUCAUGAACAUGAGGACGUUAGCAUUCCGGAGCACCUUAUAGGCGCCGAAGACGGUGGACUCCUACAUGAUGUAGGCAACCGAUAAAUUGCCGCAAGCAGAGCCGGUUGCCAUCAACGUAAGUGACUGAGGUGCAGCAGCAAGAAUGCCAUCGGCACGUGAUCGGCUGACCAGCUUGUAUCGCACAAGUGGCUCAUGGUGUAUAUCCCUGUUGAUCAAAGUUUAUGAAGUUUGAUUUUUGAGAGAACCAAUUGGCAUUCUACUACUGUAAACACAGAGGGGGUAACUAAAAGCGGGAGCUCUGCCGGAGUAAAUAGCAUAAAACUACUACUUUACAGGCUAUGGUUCCAAAAAACUACCGAAUUUAUUUUUUUCGCUGAUAACUACCAAGUCAGGGGUUGGCUGUUUCAAAAAACCCCAAAUCCUCUUUGUUAAAAAAUUAAACAUGUUUAUGACAGGUCGGGCCCGCCACUAAACGCACCGUUUGGUUGACCGUUUGUUUGACCGUUAACUUACAUGUGGGGCCACAUGCCAGUGUCUGAAAAAGCAAUCGGGUCCCUGGAAAUUUUCUAAAAAAGCAAUCAGGUCCCUGGAAGUUUUCAAAAAAAGCAAUCAGGUCCUCCGGCGCACCCGCCAUGGCCGCAAUGCCACCUCCUCCGGGCCGACGCCGUGCAUCGCCUGCAGCCGGCGAGCCACGCCCGUAGUGACCGGAUCCACGCCGCCCCUUGCCUGUGGCCGCCGCCACGUCGCCCCUCGCCAGUGGCCGCCGCCACGCCGCCCCUCGCCUGUGGUCGCCGCCCCGCGCGUGUGGUCGCCGCCACGCUCUGCCUCGCCUGCGGCAACCCCCAGGUGCUCCCCAUGGCGGGCGGCAGCACGGGACCAGAGCGGAGACCCAUGGCUGGCGGCGCCCCAGGCAGCUCCCCAUGGCGCGCGGCGGUGUGGCGACCUAAGGGGAGGGAGCGGGUCGCAUGAGGUGGGCGCACGAGGGGAGUGAGCGGGUCGCCGGCGGGGUGGGCGUGACAGGGGAGGGGAAAGGGUCGCCGGCGGAGUGGGCAUGCGAGGGAAGGGGACAUGGUCGCCGGUCUGGUCUAAGAUAAGACAGAGAGAGAGAGUACAGGAGGAAGAGGAGAGAAGGAAAGAGAAGAAAAGAGAAGCUGACAUGUGGGCCCCACAUGUCAGUUAACGGUCAAACUAACAGUCAAACUAGAGCUUCGUUUAGGUGCGGGUCCCACCUGUCAUAAUCACGAUCAACUGAUAAGCACUCAGCGUUUUGGGUUUUUUGAAACAGCCGACCCCUCGUUUGGUAGUUAUCUGAGAAAAAUUAAAAGCCGGUAGUUUUUGGAACCAUAGCCUGUAAAGUAGUAGUUUUAUGCUAUUUACUCGCUCUGCUGACCAAUAUAUAAGAAAGAAAGCCAAGUAGUAGGCCAGAAGGAAAAAAGCAGGACCUAUUCCAAUAUGGUGUCUGCCAUGGAUGUUCUUGCACAUACUAACAAAACCAAGCAACAACAUUCUCCCAAAAAAGAGCGGCAUCAUCAAAGGAAUAUGUCACUGACGAACCAGAGGAGACAGUCAUCCCGGAAUGAUCAUUGUAACGCAUUGAGACUCCCCCUGAAGCUGAAAUAGGGUAACUAUUUCACUUUCUGAAUCUCCAAGAUACCACGGAUGCAAGCAGUCUGUAGCGACAUCCGUAGGCACUAGCAAGAGCGAGCUAGAGAGCAACUGCACUUGAGGCAAACUGAAGCAAGUUCAUGUCACUCUAGCAUUGAACCUUCCUUCUGCUGGUACUAGUUCUAGGAUUUAGGCAUCUGACUUUUUCUGAAGAAAUGCCGCCAUAGAAUACUAGCAGGAAGGAUGUACUGCUGCAAUGCAAGCAAGUUUUCCCCAUUAAGCUGCUGUUGAUAUGUCAAAUUUGUAUUUUCAAUGCUGAACACACAUAUUUGACACUACUGGGAUGUAUGCAUUGGACUGAAUCCGUAGUAACGCCUCCGUAUAUUACUAGUACGAAGGAUGUACCUCUGCAAUGCAAUCAAUUUUGCCCCAUUCAAAGUCUGAAUCAACUCUGAAGACACACAUUUCAUAAGAAAGCUUUCUUUGACAUACAAGACACAAUGGAGCAACAGAGCAUUCUUCAAAUACUCUGUAACACUAGCAAGUGUGCAGUCUUUUUGUUUGUUUUGCUGUUCAUUAAUCAUCAUCACUGUGCUAGCGAUUACGACAACAGUAAAAAAACACUCUUAUAUUAUGGGACGGAGGAAGUAGAAGAUAAUUCUUGCUGCGAGAAAAAUAAAAAAGGUACAAAUUUCGGAGCCAAGUGGUACACAAUGGUAUCGGAGUUCAGUCUACAGGGAAGCAAGAACAUUAUUGCAAAGGGGACGACGAUUAAUUAACAGAGUUCUUGUAUUUUCUGAAGAGAGAUUGGGAAUGUGCUAUUUGGAACCUGUAUGCACUAAUUAAUGCCGGUUAAAUUAAAUAAAAGUGGGAGCUCUGCCUCUGCUUCCAUGGAGUAAAAGGAAGAAAGAAACCCAAGGCAGGAGGCCAGAAGGAACAAAGCAGGGGCUCCUACCAUCGUUCAGAUACUAUGCUGUUUCUGUCAUGGAUGUCCAUGGACUGACUUCAGAGUUGAGACAAACAAGUUCAUGUAUGUAUGUCCCCCGGAAUGCUCAUGAGCUGCGCCAUCCAAGAUGUUUGAGCUGGAGGCAUCAGAUGCGAGCUAGAGCAACUCAAUUUAGACAAACAGCAAGUUCACAUUAGUCUACUACUGUAGCUUCUGCUGGUACUAGUAGGAUAUGUAUUGGACUGAAUACGAAGAAAUGUCUCCACAUUACAUUACUAGCAAAAGCGCACUCGAUUUUUAUUUUGUUUGGUUGUUCACCAUCAUCAGUGUGCUAGGGAUCUCUUAUGAAAAUGAUAAUACUCCAAGGAUGCAAUCAGGUACAAGAUUAAUUCUCAUGCAGAACUAAACAUUUGUUUGGUUGUUCACCAUCAUCAGUGAGAGUUCAGACAAACAAGUUCAUGCAAGAUUGUGUCCCAGAAUGCUCAUGAGCUGCGGCAUCCAGGAUGUUUGAGAUGAGCCAUCAGAUGCGAGCUAGAGAGCAACUGCACUUGAAACAAACUGAGGCAAGUUCAUGUCAGGCAUUGGAGCUUCCUUGUGCUGGUACUGAACUGCCUAGGAUGCACGCAUUGGACUGAAUCCCAAGAAACUGUCCCCGCAAAUUACCCGUAGGACGGAUGUACUGCUGCAGUGCAAACAAUCUCGCCCCAUUUAAACUCUGAUUCAACUCUGAAAUUUCAUAAUAUCCCAGAAAAGUCUGACAUAAAAGACACUGGAGCGACAGAGCAUUCUUCAGAUAAGUACGUACGUACCUACUCUGUAACACUAGCAAGUGUGUAAUAUUUUGUUCGUUUGUUUGGUUGUUCAUCAACCAUCAUGACCAUGCUAGAGAUUACGGCAAUACAUAAAUACUCCAAGAAUGCAAUCAAGUAGUAGUACCAAGAUUAAUUCUUGCUGCAGGAAGAAGAGAAAGUACAGAUUUCAGAGCCAAGUGGUACCGAGUAGUAUCAAAGUUCAGUCUACAGGGGAGCAAGAACAACAGCAAUAGCAAAGGGAACGACGAUUAAUUAACAGAGAAGAGAAUGGGGGAAACAAAAGCAAGAAGCAUCACUAGGCAG